ACUUGUACGCGGCGAGGGUGGACUCGGCCGCGUCCUUGCGGUCGGAGCCGGUCUUAAACUCGGCGAGGUAGCGGUGGUAGUCUCCCUUCAUCUUGAGAUAGAAGACCUUGGAGUCGGCGGCGGAGGCGGAAGGGACAAGGCGCUCGUCGAGGAGGCGGAGGAUGCCGCCGCAGAUGGAGGUGAGCUCGGUCUCGAUCUUGGCGCGGUAGUCGCGUAUGGCGGCGACGUGGCCCUCGUUGCCGCGGCUCUCCUCCUUCUGCUCGAUGGAGGAGACGAUCCGCCACGAUGCGCGGCGGGCGCCGACCACGUUCUUGUAGGCGACCGAUAGGAGGUUGCGCUCCUCCACCGUUAGCUCCUCCCCUUCCAUUGCGGCCCCCGUCACCUUCUCCAUGAACUCGACCAUCUCCUCGUACCGCUCCGCCUGCUCCGCCAGCUUAGCCAUGUAUACGUUCUCCUCCCUCGUCCCCGCCAUCGCCACCGCCGCCGCCUCUACCGCCCAAAGAAACCGAGGAGGAGAACCAAACAAAACGCAGACGGAGAAGAAAAGAAGAGGCAGAGAAGGCAGCUUUUAAAGGGGAAGAUAAAAAGUUUGUGCAAGGAUCUUCUCCAACUUCGGCUUCCAAUAAAUCAAUCGAAUUCCAUAUCACAACCGACCACAAUGGGUACCGAUCACCAUCUCCAUAAUGAUCGGUCCCAUCAUUGUACAAUCACUGGAGAAGAUCCCAAACCGGAACUCUUUUCUAUUUUCGUUUUUUCUGAAAAAUGAAUAAUAAUAAUCGGAAGGGAAAUUUUAAGGGCCGUGCGGUAAAGAAGUUACAAGGGCUGAUGAAUGCACAGCAGAUCCCAUGAGAGUGUUUGUGAUCCACCGUCGAUAGCAAGCAGGAAGAAGCAUCGGGUCGGUCGAUCCACAAAGCGACAAGAGACAGCUGUCUUGUGAUGCAACGCUUUUGGAGGACGACUAAUUAAGAAAGGAGAGAGAUUUGGGACAGCUAAGAAGGGAGGAUGGUGGGAGGCAACGGUGCACCGAAGACGGUUUUACCUAUAUAUCCCUCUAACAGUCCUAAACUAACACAUUUGCCCCAUUACGGUUCGCUUCGAUUUAUUUGGUUCGGUCUACCGGACAAGCGGAAGAACGUGGCUCGAAGGGAUCGAAACGAUCAAACGGUGGUGAGGCGCAGGAACGAACGGUCGGGAUCCGAGGACGCUGGUUGCGCUCUCCUUCGACCGUCGUAUAAAAGAGCAGGCGAUACCGAGAGAAAACCUAACGGCGGAGUCGUUUCGAUAAGGCGGUCCGAGCUCCUCUCUCGCGCUUGCUUCGUGGAGCCCGGCGAGUCUUUGAACCAAGAUGAAGGUACUUACCCAAACAGGCUGAUGCGUUCGUGAGAUCUCUUUUCUUUGAUUGUUCGUUAUGGAGCUCCCGAUGAGUUUGAUUGUUGGUUUUGGUGUUAUUGUUGCAGUUCAAUAUUGCUAAUCCGACCACUGGAUGCCAGAAGAAGCUUGAAAUUGAUGACGACCAGAAGCUGUAAGCGGCUGUGGAUUCUGUUCUACGUUUUCUUUGUAGAUCCGAAUUAUUUCUGUCCUUAUCAUUUUUAUCCUGUAUCGCUAGUGCAUUUUCUUCAUCUUUGACGCCGCUAAACAUCAACUGUCUUCGUUCUAGAAGAACUUGGUGCUAGUAUACUUGGAACUCCGCUAGUGCUACCAUUUUUCUUACUCGAUUAGCUAAAAUAAAUGGUCGUCGAAGAACUUGUUGUUAGAUUGUUCGGACCAUGAUCAUUCUUACAAUCUCAUUCGUGAGGAGUCGGUGUUGAAUUUGGUUUUCUGAACUAGUAUUACUUUGAAAUCAGUGCAACUUUUAGUUUACUGUGCAUCCAUCAGGUUCGUCUCUGUAAAGUGACUAAUAGUUUACAAAUGAUUUUAGUCAAGAAGACUUUAGUCUCCUAAUAGCUAUAAGGAAGUCGUGAUUAGUAGUCUUAUUGUACGUUGUAAACAAGAAAGUUUGAUGCUUACAACUGUUUUAAUUUAAAGGUCAUAAAAAUGUGGUAUACACAUUAAUCAUAUGCUGUUCGUGGGUGCAUUAUCAUCUCAGACAAAACUGUGUAUCCGUCGAACUAGCAAUAGGCAUUCUAUUUGAUUUCAUUUUUCCCUGCAAAUUCACUUAGCUGUUAUUAUUACUAGUAGUUACAUGUGGGUGUGAAAUUUAUUCUGGAAUUCCUAUAGAUUUCAAAUGGUGCUGCUUAUACUGUUUAUCCUUUAUCCUGCAGCUUUUUUUUUAUUUUGCUUUAUGUUUUUUUCCCUUUCGUAAGCGGUGUUUUCCUUUUGAUUUGUCUUGUUCAGUGAGUCACCUAUUUCUGUUUUUAGUUGUAGCACUUAGUCUACAAUUGAGACAUUACAGCUUGUUGUAGGAUAUGGUUUUCAAGAUGAUGGCACAAUGCCUGACUUCUUCCAAAAUGUUAUGAUUGGUAGAAAUUGAUUGUUUGAUUAUCUUUUGAUUCAAACGAACUAUUGAUUGUUCUGUGGUGAGGAGUUGACUUAUAAUGAUUGACCUAUGUCAUUUCUGAGGUAGAUCAGUCGAUUCGGAACUAAUUUUACCUUAAAACAUAGCCUCAGGUCACACUGUCCUGGAAAUCAUCAAUCCUGGUUGGAUUAUAUUUGAAUAUAGAUGUUGAAAUAGCAUUAGAGAACCCAUUUGAGGCAAGAUGAAGAAGGAAUGGCACCAACAAGAUAUAAUUUCUGGAGGUAAUUACAUAUUUCAGGUUACUGGAACUUAUGUUGUGAAGGUGGAUAUUUGCAGGGUGACAUUGGACAACUGAGGAAUCUAUGCAGUUGAAUACUUUUUUAUGCAGUAUCUACAAGCACCAGUAGCCUUUUAAAGAUCAAUUUCAUUAUAACACAAAGUAAACAGUUGAUGUCUUGUCCUCUUGUUUGAUGGUUAAGUUGGCAACUAAAGUCAUUUGAAGACCUGUGCUUGUCUUGGUGGAUGGUUCAUAGUGUAGAGAUUGCUAUGUGGUAACCUUGGUGUCAUGUGUUCAAAUGGAGAAAGCAAUUUCUGCAUUUGCAUGGGCAAAGCUCAAUACACCAGGUACAAACAGCCUCUGCACUUGCAGUACUUAGCAGUGCCAUUUUGUAUCCUCAUUACUGUUUGAUCAAUUACUCUCUCAGCAUAUUGAGAAAGGGAAAGCUGGAGUUAUCUAUUGACAUAAUAGUUUUCUGUCACCUGCCUCUUGAUUUACACUAGUAAAGCAAUUAAACUCUACUUGUAUAAUAUGUGCAGCAUGGACAAGAACCCUGAAAUCUCUCUUAGCAUUUUUGCACUUUUUUCCAGUUUUUGUCUAGCUCAUUUUUGACAUUUUUAAUCGUUAACCAGCAGUUGGAAAUAAUUUUAAGUCAAGUAUUUAGGGUUGUUGUAGCCUUUUUUGCAAUGAUAAUGUACUGAGCUUUCAUAAUCUGGUUUGUAGUCGUGCAUUUUUUGACAAAAGGAUCUCUCAGGAAGUUAGUGGAGAUGCUCUUGGGGAGGUAUGAUUCAGCAACAUUUUUAGCAGUUAACAUAUUUGGAAGAUUGCAAUAUCAAAAAAUGUAAACGAUGUGCCAUUUUCAUCCAGGAGUUCAAAGGUUAUGUUUUCAAGAUCAUGGGAGGUUGUGACAAACAAGGUUUCCCCAUGAAGCAGGGAGUGCUAACUCCUGGUCGUGUCCGUCUGCUGCUUCACAGGGGUAUUGAUAUUUUGUUGUGGUUUAUGCAAUCACUUGGAAUUCUUCUUUAGAUGAUUUUGUAAUUUUGGAUAAUUUGUUAAGGUACACCUUGCUUCCGUGGCUAUGGAAGGCGUAACGGAGAGCGUAGGAGGAAGUCAGUUCGUGGUUGCAUUGUUAGCCCUGAUCUCUCAGUUCUGAACUUAGUUAUUGUCAAGAAGGGUGAGAAUGAUCUUCCAGGAUUGACUGACAUUGAGAAGCCGAGAAUGAGGGGACCCAAGAGGGCCUCCAAAAUUCGCAAGCUAUUCAACCUUUCAAAGGAGGAUGAUGUUCGCAAGUAUGUCAAUACGUACCGCCGAACAUUUACAACAAAAUCAGGUGCAGUUUUAUUUUACCAGAUUUUAUUGCCUUUUGACAAUACACCUUUUUCAUUGUUAUUACCUCAAGAGUUACUAAACUAGCUAUUUAAAAAAUUAAGGUGCUGGUUUGUCUACUAGAUUUGCAUUUGACCUCCUCCAGGACUUGAAUCCAGUGCAUGCUUCUGCUACCAUUUCUUGUUGGAGCUUUUAGUGUUGGUGGACUAUAUAUAGUGCACGAAGUUGGGGAGAUUUGUUAGCUUUGCAAUUUCUUUUGCAUACAGUUAACAACCAUCUGUUGUGAUGUUAUUUGGAAGUGGGUUGCUUUUAAGUUACUGCAACAUGCAUUUGAUGGCUAGUCUUUUUCCCUCUCCAAGAGAUGCUUUUCCGAUGUGGAAGUUUUGUCUUGUUUCAUGUUUGAUACAUUCUUUGUAGGCAAGAAGUGCAGCAAGGCACCAAAGAUUCAGAGGCUUGUGACUCCCUUGACCUUGCAGAGGAAGCACUCCAGGAUCGCAGAGAAGAAGAAGAGGAUUGCUAAGGCCAAGUCUGAAGCUGCUGAGUACCAGAAGCUGCUUGCUACCAGGCUCAAGGAGCAGAGGGAGCGCAGGAGUGAGAGCUUGGCCAAGAGGAGGUCCAAGCUUUCUGCCGCCUCCAAGCCAUCCAUUGCAGCCUAGACUAUUGCUUUUUAAGCAGGGAACAAGCUCAAGUAUUUUUUUGCUUCAGUAUUUGUGAUAAACACAGGCUGAUCUCUUUGUUUCUUUGAUGUUGACGUGGAUUUCGCCGACAUUUUCCUGCAUGAUUUUGCAAUCUGCCUGUUAGAUUGUAUUGGACUGGAAUUUAAUUGGCAAUGUGAUGGAGUAGAGUUGAAAACUUGUGCCAGGUCAAAUGCUCGAGAUGGCUUUAGAGACAAAACUGGUCCUAAGUGGAUUUUGAAAUGUGAGAGAAACAUUUUUUGUUUGAUUAUUUCUUCUCAUCAAUAUUUUCGUUAAUGUGGCGUACUUGUCUUAUGGUUCGUUAGCUUCGCAUUGCGACCCGCAGAAGGGGUGAUAGAACUCGUUUUUUCCCAAAUGCAUCUUUUACAAUGCUUGGCCUUAUCAAGCAUGAUGUUCACGAGUACUUGCUGCCAUGGAGCGAGCUUCAAGUCAACUUCAUUAGUUAUAAUACGAUCGUCAGAGGAAACGGAGUAAUUUAUCACCAUUAAUCUACUCUCUGUUACAAAUAUAUCGAAUACUACAUUUAUGCCGACAAAUUGGUGAUCGUGUCCGACGACAUCCGAUACUCGCAACGUAACGGCCAAUACAAAAAUAUAACACUUGUCAUUACAACCGAUAUAUCUCGCAGCGACCGUUAUGCAAACAACGAGAACCCAUAGGAACUUAUCACGACCGAUAUAUCAUCGCAGCGGCCGUUAUGCGAGCAUCGAGAAUCAUAGGAGUUUGUAUGCGGAUACGGCUGCCUAUAAAAGCCGACGAGGAGACUGUGCGCAAGCGCGAUGAGGGACUGAAGGGACGAAGAGAUGGAGGAAGAGGAGCACGAGGUCUAUGGCGGCGAGAUACCCGACGAGGCUGACAUGGACGCCGACGUAGACAUCGGUCGCUCCGACGAGGACGCUGCUAAGGUCAUUACCUCUUCGAUCCUCUCCCACUCUUAGAAAUCCCCUGAAACCCUAACCCUAAUCCCCCUAUUCUUGUCGAUUUGGAUUAGUUGCAGGAACUCGACGAGAUGAAGAAGCGGCUCAAGGAGAUGGAGGAGGAGGCCGCCGCUCUCCGGGAGAUUCAGGCCAAGGUUGAGAAGGAGAUGGGCGCCGCCCAAGGUCCGAUCUCCUCUCCGUCGCUAGGUUUCGCCCCAUCUUCUCGGUGCUUUUGGGUUUGAUGUAUCGUUGAUGAGAUGUUAGAUCCACAUUGCAGUGAAGUUAGAGGUCUUCGGUCACCGUAAUUAAAUUUAUUAAUUCUGCAAUUGAGCAGCUAUUUAUGUGAUUGUAAUAGUGAAGUGCUGCUAGUUUAAACAUAGUUGUGAUCCAGUCACAGAGACUCACUUGAGUGAUAGUGGCAAUUACUUUGUGGGACAGUGAUUUGAUAUUAACAUUUAAGGUAUCAUGGCUUACUUCGAGUUUAGGGCACUCAUGUUUCACACGGGGUUCAUCGUACCGAACCAUGCUGCCCAGUACGAGCGGUAUGUACCAAUCCGACAGAGGCUCGGUACGUGGAUCAUCCUCUAUCGGGUAGUACCAUAACCUCCCCUAUCGAGUGAUACCAAAACCUAACCCCUUAUCGGGCAUUACGGGGUCUAUACCGAGUGGUAACGAUUGAAAUCUGAUCAUUACCGACCAGUAUGGUAACGAUCGAAAUCUGAUCGUUACCGACCUGUACUGGUUGGUAACGAUCUGAGUGCGAUUGUUAUCGAUCAAGGGGAAGAUAGUAGGCAUCAAUCAUAUUGUUGAAAAGAAUUGAGUCAGGCGAUGAAACACCUUCUCAAUCGCAUUCGACAACCUGCUCAAUUCAGUGACAUGGUAGCGACGUGGACAGUAGUAUCUCAACUGAUGAUGGCAGCGAUACCGGGGAGUCGAUGGUCCCGUCUAUAUAAUUUUAGAAUGGUACAUGGAUCAAGUAGUAUUUUACAUAUGUCACCAAAGAUUUAGAUAAGGAAACUCGAUAAGGUACUUAUUAAGUUUAUACAUGGAAGGGGAAGGGGAAGACAAUGGAUGAUUUUGAGUAGAUGCUACAGAGCCUACACAACAUAGACACAAAGCAAAUCUCAUCGUAUUUAUAGCCAUCGUAUCAUGGAAAAUCUUAUGACCAACAAAAGUAUGGGGAUAGUUGGUCAUACUUCUCCGACCAACAGUACGGUGAUCGACCUUAUGAUAUAGAACAACAUAUCAGUGGCGAAAGUUGGGGCUCUCCCCUCACCGCCCCCAUGGGGAUGGUCUACAGGGUUCAUAACUACCUUCUUACUGCAGGACGCUUACCUAGCUAACACUUGGAUCAAAGUUUUGAUAUUUUUUAUUCUUCGCACCAAUAUAUACCACAAUCGUACUUGUCUUGGUAGUCGCCUCGGGCAUGUGUGAUUCACGACAAUCAGAUUACGAUUAUCACUACAUUGAUGCAUUAAUGACACACGAUAUAUCAGUAUACUAUAUCGUGGGAUCAAUUGUAGGAUUGGGUCCGACAAACACGUCAAAUUGAUAUACGAAUACAUAGGAUCGAGGACCUUGAUCCAUUGCUUGUGGAGUCUUGUUGUCCUUUUUGGUGAUAGAACUAGGUAUAUUCAUCGAUCGAUUAUUUGAUUCAUUUGAAUUUUAAAGUUUAAGUUUUUUUUUUUAAAUCUAACAAUUUAAAUCAUUUUAUUUCUUUAUAGAUAAUUCAAUAUUAACGAAAGGAUGGUUUAGAAUGUACUACAAAAUUACUCCUCAAAGCUCAAAAUAAAUGUCAUUAUUCUUUUAUAAUUUAGAUUUUUUUGAUAAAUUUAUACAAAAUUUAUAUUUGUUUUCAACUUAAAAACCUUAAUCUAAUUUUUUUUUUAUUUUUCAGAUAUUUGUGGAGCUAUUUUGAUUCUUUUGGGUGUACUGUUGGUACGUCUCGGUACGUACCAUACUGAUUAUUGGUUGGUAUAUCGGUGCGGAUCGAAAUUAUAAACCUUUGUUUCACAUAAAUAAUUUUCUAAAAUAAUAUUUUAUCAUGUCUCCAAUAACUUUAAAAUAAUGAACCCUAAAUUACCUUACCAUAGUAAAUGCUUAAACUCAAGUUAGUAGUAGGAAGGCCAUCGGGUUUUUUAUGCGACUUCAUACCAAUAUUUGUUUGCAGAGAAACCAUUUAUAAGUAUUUAGCCUUUUAUUGUCUUUUAUGGUGGUUAUACACUAAUGUUUUAUAAGUAUUUUUCCUUUUAUUGUCUUUUAUGGUGGUUGUACACUAAUGUUUUAUUUUUUGUUAAAGUUGAUGUUUUUAGUUUUAUGUUCACAUAUGACUAAAUUCCAAAAAAGUAUAUAAUCAAGUUUCAUCUUGUUAUGUGUAGACCCUGCAGGUUCGGCAGCAACACAAGCAAGCAAGGAGGAGGUUGAUGCUCGUUCUGUAUUUGUUGGCAAUGUGAGUUUCAUUAUUUUACUCUUUUGCAGCUAUAUUGAACAGAUCUAAAUUCAUGCCAACUUUUAGUGUGGCUUAGUAUUUCAUAGCUCCAGCUAUCAGCAUGAUAACCCUGUGAAUAAGAUCUGUAAGCUAAUGGUUUUGUGAUACUCUUAUAUAACAAUUGCACAUGUAUAACAUCUAAUCCUGGUAUUCUCACAAUGGCUCUUGUAAGUUUCUCUUCCUCUGUGGCAUUUCCGAAUGUUCCACUUGGUUAAGAGGACAGCAUUUUUUUUUUUACUUUUGAAAUCUUCUUCUGGCAUUUCUGAAUAUGAUAUAAUAGUUGAUGAAACAAGAUUUUGUGUGCUUCUUUCAGAGUGCUUUUAGUUUCGCCAUGCUGGCUUUACAUUGUUUCUUAGUUCUCUACAGUUCAGCUACCAGGAAGGAACGUUACCGAUGAGAUAUUCAAUCUUACAUUUCAUUUUUUUUCUAACAGCUAUAAAUGUGUGACCUUGUGGCUCUUGGCACAAGUUGGUCCUUUUGAAAUCGAUAGUUCUUCUUUGGAGAUGAAUCAAAAAUACCUUAUUUUCGAUGAUAUCUAAAUUGUUCCACUUUAUCAGCAUUCCAUAUUUUUAUUUUUGCUCCUACCCAACCAAAUAGGUAAACCACAUGGCAGAUAAAAUAUGGAAUGCACGGCGAUUAUUCCUUUGUUUCUUGUUCUAGCUAAUUGCAUAUGCUUACAUUUGGCAUUCAACACCAUAUGUUACUUUGAACAUAAUGCCUAUUCAAUCUGUUGACUUCUUUUCAUGAUCCCAUAUCAAGUAGAAGGAAACAAUUCUUUACUUUUUUGGUCAGUUGACAUCUUUUUUUAUUGAUCGAGACAUAUCUGUCUCUACUUAUCAAGUACUGGGAAAAAUCUUAACAGAAUGUCUAAUAAUGGCCGCAGGUACACUCCUCCCAUAGCGAGUUCUCUGUUACCCAGAAUAGUGGGGUGCUGGGAAGUUCUGAUUUACAAUAAGCUUCUAGUUGAAAGAAAUGAGGGAAAAAAAUCUUUUUUUAUGUUAUAAUCAAGAUAAAGAGUCACCAGAAAGAAGAUAAAAAAAUUCUUGGGAGAGAACUCAGAGAAGAAAAUCAUAGGCCAAAAAAAAAUGAAAAAAAAAAUGCAUAGUGGAAAAAGGGGAGAAGGUAAAUAAGAAAAAAAAUCGUGCUAUGUGCAAUUCUAUGGAUUUUUGAAUAGGAAAAGGAAGAAUGGAGGUUAAAAUAUAGAUAUUUGGCACGGAGAAGUCUGAAUAAAAGAUUGAAUGACUUGGUGAUUUGAAGUUAGGCAAUGGGACAGGUGGUAUGAAGUUCAUUGUACUAGUGGCAUGAUGAAACCCCAUUGUGGACAUGCAACUAGAGAUGCUGAAGGCUGCUUAUUCUUGGUGUUGGAGUUGGAAGAGCUUUGGAUUUUAUGUUGCUUAGUAUUCAAUGGUGAGAGGUCCAAAUUCUUGAUUACUUGCUUGUGGCCUUAUUUUAUACUAUUUUGGUUCACAUCUUGUGACCUCUGGAUUGUACUGAUAGAUAGCAUUCUCUGUUGAUAGGUUCUUGUUCUCUUGUUUUUGUACUUGUCUUCUACUACUACUGUCCUCAUCUCAUUAACUUACACCUGCCUUUGAUAAUUUUUUUUCCAUUUUAGCUUAUACUUAAUCUUGUCAUAAGGUUUAAUAUUGUAUGAUUUUUAAAUAGUACAAGCUGUACUUAAAGAGGUUGAAAACUAGUGAAUCUAUAACAUGUUUGUCAACCGUUUUUCAGACCUAUUCCUUCUUAUUUCUAGUUGAUAUUAUUUCAAUUCCUAUUAUAUUUGUAUUCAUUAAGUGAUUCUCAGCAUUUGGGUUUCUUGAAAGGGAUUUGUUUUUUUUUAAUUUUGUUUUGAAUUUGCUCUUGUUUCUGGUUGCUAUUAGCAUAGAUGCCAUCUUUUUUCUUGAUUACUUUCUUGCAUUCAGUAGCAAAUAAACCAUAAUGUGUCAUUUUUUAAUUUUGUUGAGCUAACAUCACCCUGUAGCAUACUUGAUAGACUGCUGAUAUUGGCAUACUUGACAUGUAGCUAUCUUUGAUUGGUGGCUGAGAUUGUUAAAGAUAUUUUUGAAUGUUAUAUGGUUACAUGGUUCCUCUUCCAUGAAAAAAGGUGUCCCACAAUGUCAUUGCUUUCCUCUUGACAGUAGCCAUAUUGUCUAAGAAUAUUGAUGGCUAUGUGAUUAUUUUUUAACAUUUAUGGACUACAUCUCUCCCUAUAGGGAGAAUGAAAUUAACUGAUUGUGGUACUAUAUUGCAUGAUAAAAUGACUUUGAAAUGGGCUCCCAGUUCUCAUAGCAGGGUUAAGAUCAGCUAGAUGUUCUGCACCCUGUCACCUUCUUUUUUACUACUAAUUUCAUGGUGAAUGUUGAAAAGCUCAUGUUUACUGUCCAGAAGAGGAAUGUAUCUAUUUUUCUGAAUUGUCUUCUCACAAACUUAACACUGGUGGAAAAAGAGGAUCAAGGAGGACAAAUGCAAAAAGCUACAAUGUCGUACUUGAAUAUGAGAGAUUGGUUGAAGGAAAUGAUGUCUAAGGAUGAAUUAUAUCAUUUUGGGGCACAAGCCUAAUGCCAGAUAGAGCAAUGCAGCAGCAUUUUUUACCUAUGUGAAUGGGUUGCAUUAGAAGCUUCACUGGAGUUAAAAACUGAUAUCUGAGAGUUUAUGCAUGGUAUUGAUGAUGAAGACAAUGAUAAUCAAGAUUGUUACAGUUAAAGGUAAUAUCAUGUGUCUAAUGGUACACACUUGUUCUCCUUCAUCAAGUAUGAAUAGAAUCUAGAAGAGAAUAGAGGGAACAGAGGAAAGGAGAAGGGUGUUUGUGUGUGCUCCGAUGUAGGACUUUAGGCUUCCCAUUCUCCAAGUCACCAAGUCCAAAUCGGUUAUAUAAAGUCAUCGUGAAAUGUAGUAUAGAAGUGACUUUCAUCAGGAUUGUGAUCACCAAACUAAUCCAAGUUGGCCACCUACACAGUUCCACUUUUCACACAACACUAGACAUGCUAUAAACUUUAGAACUAGGACAAAUAUACUAUCAACAACACCUGGAGUAAUCUUCCAUGUGAAGUGCAAUUAUUUUUUUGUUAGUACAUGACAGAUCAUGGUUAAUUAAUAUAAAUUAGCUGUUAAAUAAGAUGUGCAUGGUUGUCAUGAAGCUUCUGCAUAACUUGAAAGUGCCCAGUAUUUUCAAAUAAUAUACAUGACGGUGAUACUUUAUGGCUCAAUUAUUGUGUGUACUAAUGCCAAAGGGGAAUAGACCCCAGUCAUAGGGAGCUUAGUAAUAGAAAGCGUUUGGUAAGAGAUCUCUAGUUCAAUGUGGAGAAAAACUUGUUGCUCAUGAAUUUGUGAGAUGAAGACCAUUAAAGUUUGUUAUGAUGAUGUUCAGUGAGGAGUGGAAGUUUUCAGAAGAACAUGUAAGAAAAAUAUAUGGACUAUGUAAGUUGUCUUCGAGGAGGCAUGAGUUCCCUGGCACACAACUAAUCCAACAUUAUUUGACUGGAUCAGGGAUUAGAUAGUGCAAGAACUUUUUUAGCAGUCUUUGGUGAUAGAGUUCAAUCUUAUUGGAAUUCCUGAACCGCAUGACCCUUGUAGCUUGGUCUUUCUUUCUCAUGUAAGCCUUUCUGCUGUAAACUAGUAAUUUAUUCUCUUAGGAGUUUCUUAUCACUGGUUCCUAGUUAAAACAGUAAUUUUUUUUAUCGUAUGAAUAAAAACAACAUGGGAAAUUGGUAGGCUAAAAAUCCUUCAGAAAAACAUUAACUUUGGGUUAAUGCAUUGUUUUAUUUGAGACUGUGGAUGUAUAAGUGGACAUGCUGAGGUAAUCUUUUAUGAGAGUAGAUUACCAUCUUGAGACUACCUUAGUUAAUCCUUGAAUUUCCUGUAUAUAUCAAUCAAAACUUGACUAAAGAAAUAAUGACUGUAAUAUCUGUUUAUGAGUGCAAAAUGGCCUGCUUUUUAAAGUACUCUGGUUAACGGUUAUAUGGAGAACACCUCAUAUUUGAAGCUUUGGUAGAACUUUAUUGUUUUUAUUAUUUUGAAGUUUAGAUACACGAAGAAGUUUCAUGUUCUUAUUGUUUUGGUUAUUUAUCAUGAGAAUAGUGGUUUCGAUGAGGAUCAAGUCUUUUUCUCUCCACAUUGUUAUAAGCAAUGAAUGGUAUCAAACUGCAGGUGGAUUAUGCUUGCACACCCGAAGAAGUACAGCAGCAUUUCCAAUCAUGUGGGACGGUUAAUAGGGUUACCAUCCUGACAGACAAAUUUGGUCAGCCGAAGGGUUUUGCCUAUGUUGAAUUUCUGGAGCUCGAGGCUGUUCAGGAUGCUCUUCAGUUGAAUGAAUCCGAACUGCAUGGUCGCCAAAUCAAAGUCUGUUUAGACUCAAAUCUAUUUUUUUUUAAUUUCUACUUUUCGAAGUGAAAAUAAUCAAGAUUCAUAUCUUUUUUUCUUUUUUUUUUUGUAAUGAAAGGGAUGCCUCUUUGCAGGUUGCUGCUAAACGUACUAAUGUUCCAGGAAUGAAGCAAUUCCAUCCAAGGCGGUUUAAUCCCUACAUGGGAUACCCAUAUAGGAGGCCCUACAUGCCACCAUACUUUGCCUCCCCUUAUGGAUUUGGGUUGGUGCUCCAUUUUUCCUCUUUGCCUGCAUUCUUUAUUGCUACAGAGGUUCUUCCAAAGACUUGACAUAUGUAUAAACUAAUGGCUGAACUUGUUGAAUGUCUUUACAGGAAGGUGCCUAGAUUCAGAAGGCCAAUGCGCUUUAGGCCUUAUUACUGAUCAGUUGCGAGCCUUAUUAGCUAGUAUGUCAUUGGUGCAACCGUUAUGGGAACAUCGCUGAGGUUUGUUGCAGUUUGGAAUUUAAUGGGUGAAAAAGAAAAUCCUACCUAUACACCCGAGACCAAAGCAUCAAGAGAUUUCCAUUGUCACUCUCACUUUUUAUAGCUUGAUUGCUGGCUAUAUUUUACCUUCCUGCUGCCAGUUUGCUUUAUGAUGGAUAACAUGUGCUGCUUUCGAUGACUGUCCCCAACCGCUGAGCCUUUGGAUUAGUCAUACGGCUUGAGGGUUACUUGAGAUGGCGGGGUUGGUGUUUUGCUUUUAUACAUGUUUCCACUGCAGUAUGGAAUCAUGAUUACUCACGCCUAUGUCACGUCUCUAGUGUCCGUGAGUGCAUGCUUCCUGUGCCGGCUCGUGGGUUGAUGUCAUGAUUCGAGUAUCUUGACAACAAGAGGGCGAAAGGAGAAGUCCAGCAGUGAGGCUUUGAAGUCUGCAUCGUUAACCAGGCGCAUCUUGGAUUUGUCCAAGGAUAGAAAGAAGAACACACUACGUCCAACCAUGCUUUUCUACUCGAGGGGUUCAUGGAUUAUUUCUCACGUAUUAACAGAGUAUAAUCAACGAGUAUUGCGAUGGAAACUAUACAUAAAUCAUCAACCGGUCCGGUUCUGGUAUAAGGUCGGUUGCAUAAAAAAUCAGCCAGGACUAAAUAACCCAGUUGGUUCGAAAAGGAUGAGAAGAAUAAAACUGGAAAAGAACAAGAACAAGAGCUGAAGAGAUUGGUACGAAAAAGGAAUAAGGCAAAUCAGAAGUAGAUGAGGAACGAAAUUAUAAAUAAAUGUUGUAUUAGAUCUAGAGCCACUAAUUUCUUCGGCAAACUAGUGAAACUAAGUAUGACAGGGUCGAUCAUCAACUAGGUUAUGGAGAUAUGCAAGUCUUUGGAUUCCAUCGACACAGAUGAGCCAAACCUGAUUCCAUUGGUAUGAGGUGGUCGAUGAAUCUCUCAAUCAUCUCACGAAUGAGAAGAUUGGAACGAAGAUAGGAAUAAGGCAAAACAGAAGUAGAUGAAGAACGAAAAUAUAAAUAAAUGUUUUAUUAGAUCUAGAGCCACUAAUUUCUUCGGCAAACUAGUGAACCUAAGUAUGACAGGGUCGAUCAUCAACUCGGUUCUGGAGAGAUGCAAGUCUUUGGAUUCCAUCGACACAGAUGAGCCAAACCUGAUUCCAUUGGUAUGAGGUGGUCGAUGAAUCUCUCAAUCAUCUCACGAAAGAGAAGACUUUGCUCAGACUUGAUCACGACACAGACAAUGAGAAAACAGAAGAGAUCAGGUAAUCCAUCUUAAGGUUUCUAAUCAAUCAACCACUUAUUUCUGCUGAUGCUCUCAGCCGAUUGUCUUAAAUUACCCACAUAUCCUAAAAUGAUCUCAAACUUAGUACAUCCUAUAACCCGAUCUUGAUGGAAAGUUGAAUCAUAUCACCUCAUCAGACAAACUGAAUUCAGAUAAUCUUCUACUUAACACCCCUAUUUCUUUGUAGAGAUUGAGUGCUGACGGCUCUUUGAUCUCUGUCUGCUUCUCUUCUGUUCGCUGCCACCGCUACCCACUCCCCGGUGGCUGCUUCCCUCCCCAGUCCUGCUCCUGGCUGAAGAGAUUGGCAACUGGCUUACUCGUCUUGUUAGCUUUCGUCGCGAGCUCCACCCAUUGUUCCCUAGUGCAGCCUUGGCAACGCUGUCGGUGGCCGCCUCCCUUCCCCUCUGGGACUUGAUGGACUGCUUGUUCAGAUAGAUAAGCUGAGGCAGGAAGCUGCUGAUGGCUUUUCGAAGCUGCUCUUCACCAUUGUUGCUCUGAAUUGGGUUCCCAAGCAGGUUAAGAGCCAAGAGGGAUUUGUAGUUGGCGACGAGCUGCCCCAAGGCCUUUGUUGUAAUUAUCUUGUUGAAGCUCAAGUCAAGAACUGUGAGCUUCAGGAGCCUGUGGAGCCCCUCGACGUAGCUGAUCCUAUUCCCGGCUACAUACAGCUCUUUGAUGAGAGUGCAAUUUGACAGUCCUGUAAUAUUUAUGCGUCAUCACUUUUUGUAAUCAUCAUGCUUUCAACAACAAUAUCAAGUUGAAAAUCCAUAUGAUUUUGGAAGCCACAUUAAUCUAAUACUUUUCAGCAGUUCAGUAAUUCAAGUCACAUUGCCUAGAAAUAGGAUUUGCAGAUUGUCCACAGAUAUACUCGAUCACAACGAAGUUACUUUAUCAAUUGGAUCUCCAUAGCUAAACAAAUCAAUCAUUUACUUCAGAGGACAUUAUUGUCAUGAAAUCUAUGAUCUAAAAAUCAUAAAUAAUUCUCACUGAAAAAAAGGGAUACCAACUUCUGAAUGAUACAAGUGAACAAUUAACACUUCAAAUCUCCUUGGUAUUAUUUACUUCCAAUUAUGGAUCCACCUGAAGUGACUUGAAUUAUUCCUUCCAACAAUAGAUGACCCGAAAUGCAUAUUUGUUUGGUUAGAUAGAAGUGCUUUCCUCGUGGAAACUAACAUGAUGCCAAAUCAACACUACCGUAGCUAUUAAGAAUGCUGGAAGCAUGUUCAACAACUAAAGCAACAAGGAUAGGUAUUGCUUACCAUGGCCAAUGCGUGAGAUUCUGUUGUAGCUGAGAUUAAGAACUCGCAGCCUCAUUAGUUCUCUGAGUCCCUCAAUUAUUGCGAUCUUGUUCUUAGACAAAUCGAGUGUAUGAAGAUUCUUAGGGAGCGAUCCUGAAGAAAUGUGAACUGCAGCAAAAGCAAUAGGCCAUGUGCAUAGAUAAGUUUAAGGGGCAGUCAUCAUAUAAGAAAUCAUAUUCCAAUUGAGUACCAAGGAUGUUGGUUCAUACCUAUUGAGUUUCCAGAUAAAUUAACAGACCGGAGACUGUUGAAAGCCGAAAUUGCUGGUAUAACUCUCAAGCCCAGACCGGCGAUGUGAGCCACAGGGGAAAAGGAACAUAGUGAUUGGAUAAUGUUGUUGGUCUGUAUAACCUUCCCAACUGCAUGCCGGACAUUGUGAGAUUGCUUUGUUCCUGAGGUUUCCCCAGUCUCAUGACAAGUUGCAUAUGACACUACCUCUUCUGCUGCUUCACCAUUGUCGGUUGGGCAGAAUGGACUACCCUCGAGACUGUGAACCCAAGCAUUAACUCUAUCUAACAAGGAAGAUUCUGCAGAAAAAGCAAUCCACUGAUUCUGAGGCCACAAGUCAGCGUUACUUAUAAUCUCUGGUCGCUCCAUGUCUGACUCGUUCUUCGUCUGAAAACAAGGGUUUGGUUUAAGUGUAUCUGAGCAAUAACCAACAUUGUUUUUCGAUGUAUCAUCGAUGGCAAUCUUCUGUGGCACUGAAACCCAAGGCUUGUGACAAUUCCUAUGGCUAAAGAGAAAAAGCUUCCACCAAAGUUUCGUACUCCUCGAUGGAAGCACUUGGCACGAAGAUCUCUUAUUUAGCAAAGCCUUGUCUGCGCUGACUGAGGUCAUUACUGACAAUGGGCUGCCAGGAAUGUCAUCGGUUGCUUCACCACCAAGAUUACCCCAUGUGUUAUAGACCUCGUCGGAGGAAUUGGACUUGGUAGGCGACCUAGUCAAUUUACCAACUCUCAUGGUCUCAAUGUUUGAGCAUGAGCGCUUCAGCACAGGUGAUCCCCAGAACAUUGACUUCUGCCCCAUUCCGGGAUCACUAACAUGCCCAUUGUGUAUGCUCACUUCCGGAGUGAUCACAUCAAAUUUCUCCAACUUGUCCUCCAACCCAUCAUUGAACAAUUCUUGAUCCCAACCUUUGGAACCGAUGUCGUCUUUCUCCACUGCUAAGGCUUGGAGAUCAAAGUCAGAGAAGUCUCUCUUCAUAGAUAAAUCCUCAUCAUGCUCAUCACUUCCCUCAUAUGAUGCCUCAGUUAGCACUGAUUUGUCAUCCACCGCCACUUUUGCAUUCUUUGCAAAGCUUUCUCCCGGAGUUACUUCUGUUACAGCAUUCUCGGUGGAUCGGUCAUCAAAUUCCUCAGGAUUAACUCUUAGGUCCCCAUUGCCAUUGAGAUUUUUAGCAACCGUGAACGACUCCUAGGAGCAAUGGUAGUCAAUAGGUAUAGUCAGCAUCAAUUAGAAGAGUAGAGAAUCGAAAACAAAAGCCCGAAAACGUGACUCUUACCUUCGACUUCUUCUUUGUAGCAAAAAGAAAAGAGAAGCAACUGAUUUUUGCCAUCUUUCUCGAUACUGAAUUGAUCUCAGAAGACCACAAAGUCAGACAAUCCUAAUAAAAUUCCCUUGCAGUUGCCAGACCGGCUACCAAAACUUAUAGUAGCCAGCAAAGACCUUCCGCACAAAGCUACAUGAAGAUGUUCUCUAUCGCAGGGAUUAGCCGUUGUCGAAAGGAGAUCCUUUCAGCACGCGACAAAGAAGGCCAACAAGUAGAACAGUGGAGAUUGGAGUCGAGCAGAGAGGCAAGAGCGCAUCCUCCUGAUCCCACACCUUUCUCAAGGUGCAAGGAGAUGGUACCUCAGGGACGGCCAGAGUGAUCUAAGAACACCUUCGAUGUCAGUUGUGGUCCGUUUCGAAUCCCUCAAUGGUUGAUGACAACCCUGAGAUGUAAUGGAAAGCAGAAAGUUAGAUCUCGUAGAGCCCAAACAGCAUACAAUCCAAUAGAGGAAAAAAACGCAACUUGUGCUUCUCCCAUGGUUCCUUUCCAGGUCCAGAGGAGACAACAACACAACCAGAGAUGUGGCACCAACAAGAAGUUACAGAGAAGACAAAAAAGAUUCUCCCGUUCGAUCGGGUAAAGAGUUCAGGGGAAGAAAGAGGGAUCUGAACACAAGAAAACCCUAGAAAAGGAAGAUUUGUUUCCCCUACCGAUCCAAAACUAUCAGAAGGAUCACUAUUUACCUACUGCAACGUAUUGUUUCCCCAAUAUUACGAAAACCAAAGCGAUGAAUGAGCACAAAAGAUGGUUGUACUAUUUCGAAUAAGAAUAGAUUCCGAUAAAACAAACAAAGUAUCGAUCCAGAAUCCAAUGUAAAUAAAAAUCGUUUCUUUCUCUAAUCCCGAAAUGACACGGAACGAGGAACAAACGCCUUCCUUUCUGAUGCCUUCGCCACGAACAGAACUCGAUAAAAGAAGUCUUUCUUGAAAGAAAGAUCACGACAACCGGGAAUCAAAGAAGAAAGAAUCCAACCUCCUUUCGUUUCUACUCUGAAACAGAGGACAACAAAGAAGUGGAACCACCAUAACUCGUAAGAAUCCCCACCUUUAGCCUUUCCUACCCCUCCGCACCGACUCAAACUACUGGAAUCAGGAGAAACCCGAAGAAGACAAUGUUUCAAAUGGUUUCCGCGGGGGAAAAGAUGGUACCUGAGGAAGCCACCGAGAACUCCGCCGUAGAGAGAUCAGAGAGAGGAGGAAGCUUGGGGACGAAGGGGGGAGAGCGGCAGCAGUGGCGCUUGGGAGAGAAGGGUUUGGGUCGAUGGGAACGUGGUGGCAGCGGAUAGAUAUAGGCGGGCGGGCGGGUGGGCGGCCAAGUGCCGCCGCUGGCUGCGGAAGCUGUAGACGCGCAGGAAACGUGUGAGGUUGAGUCGGUGGCUCCACGGACUUACCCCUUGUGAACCGGACUGACUCUGGUCGAGCUUAUAUACGUCUCAGUAAAUUUGGCCCAAUUCCUACACGAAUACAAUUAUACUGCGGUCACAUUCCUCAUCAUCAUCAACAACAACAACAAUAAUAACAAUAAUAAUAAUAAUAAUAAUAAUAAUGUGAUAAAUAUUUAGAUUAUUUGGAAUCUAUCACAUUACGAUCUUACAGCUGUCAAAGUAUUCUGUUUCAAGGUUGACAAUCUCGAGGAAGCUGCGGCUGUUUAGGAAAUGGUGGCUCUGAUAGAGAGAGAAUUCUCAGUUGCCUUCUUCCGGGAAUCUACUCUCUCUCUCUCUCUGUCUCCUUUGGCUGCUGCUGCAGCAGCAUUUGGAUCUCAUCGUGCAUCUCCUUUCUCUCUCUCUCUCUCUGUCUCCUUUGGCUGCUGCUGCAGCAUUUGGAUCUCAGCAUGCAUCUCCUUUUACCCAAACUCUCUCUCUCUCUCUCUCUCUCUGCUUUGGACUCCAUCUUCCUCUGUUCUUGUUGUGUUCUUCAAGUAGGGAGGAUCUUUGCUAUCAUAUUGUGUGAGUCAUUGAUCUUUGUGUGAGUCGGUUUGUUCUAUGGACACAGAUCUUUGGAAGAGAGAGAGCAGAAGGUGGGUGGCGAUGUGUGGAAGGGAGUAAAAGAUCGCUGAUGGCUGCCUAAUAAUCUUUCACGUUCUUCUUCUUCCCAAAUAAUUUUCUUUUUGGAAUAUAUAUAUAUAUAUAUAUAUAUAUAUAUAUAUAUUUUAAUUUUUCAUAAUAGAUAACUUAUUAAAUUUGUAGAAGACUUUUUAAACUAUUAAAUAUUUAAUUUAAAUAAUAAAUACUUGAAAUGGAUAUAAAUAAUUCAUUUUAGUUCAUAUGACUAAAAUAUGGUUUGAAAGUUUUUAGGCAUCUACAUAUUCAUACUAUUUAUUGAAGAAAAUAAAAAUGAUGUGAGAUAAGUUUGACCUUUAUCCAUUACCUGUAUGAGAAAAUAAUCAAAUAAUAUUUAUUAUCUAUAUAGGGCGCAUGAGACGCAAGAGAUAUUAUUCGCAUAGAAAAAAAAAGAUACAAGAGAUAUAAUUGUUUGGACAAGAAGUAUCAGAAAAAUUAAACAUUACUAAUCGAACACAAACGACACACAGAGAAAGCGAAAAAUUAUUUUACGCCACUUAAUAUAUACGAUAUGAUGUGUCAUAUUGAAUUUUUUUUUUGCGAAUUAUAUUUUUUUAUAGAGAUUAUUUAAAUUUUAUGACCUUCCUUAUUUUGAGCGUAAUUGAGUGUGAGAAAAGUACUUGAGGACGAAGGAAACAGCUACUAAGUUUUUUUUUUUCCUAUUUGUAUAAAUUAGAUAUCAAGCUAUUAGCACAUUAGCAACACCAAUGUCACAAAAAAAAGUAGAUAAAUAAAGGCUCCAUAAAUAUGAAAUGACACAUUUAUAUGGAAUAUAUAUAUAUAUAUAUAUAUAUAUAUAUAUAUAUAUAUAUAUAUAUAUGGGUUAAAUGAUAUAAAUUAUUUUCAUUAACUACAAUUGACAGGGUUAGGAAUAAUUUUAUUUAUGAAGAAUAUGACGAAUAAACAAAAAAGAGAGAAAGAUUAAAUUGAUCAAUUUCACUACCAAUUCUUUAGAUUUUUAUAUCAAGAAAUGAAGUCAACUAUUUCGGUUACCUAAUUAAUCUUCUCGUUGGACGACUCAAUAACACCAUGUUUUUUAUCUUCCUCCGCCGGCAUCAAAUUUCUGAACAUUCCUCCUUCAUCGUUUUGCUCGACCUCUCUCUCUGCACACUACAUGUAUAGACACAUGAAAAGCAUGAAGAGUUGGACUGAUGACAAUCUUAGACUUUUCUGUCUCCUUACUUACUUAUUUUGAAUAUUUAUUUUUAUUUUUUGUUUUAUUUAUAGACCUAACUAUUGUAUAUUUUAUUUAUAGACCUAACUAGUCAUAUAUAUAUUAUAUGACUGACAACCUGCAGCAGCCAAAGAGUCACUUCCUUUGACUCUUUUGGGGAAGAAAAGGGCAGGAAAGAUGACGCCCAAACUACAUUCCAUUUCAAGUGAGCAGCCAAAGUCUGCAUCAGUAUCCUUACCAGCUCAAAGUUUAGGCAGAUUACAACUUUGACUUGUUUCUGCUUGCUCAGCAGGAAACUUCCACACCAUCUGGCAACAAGUUCCUCAGAGGAGGAACCACCCUAUGUUGACCAAUCAUAUCCAUUAAAUUGUCACGAGGAAUGGUGAACACUUCCAUGUGCUUGCCAUCACUAAUUAACUAUUCGAUGAUUUUUCUUUUUCUUUUUUAUUAUCUUCUGUUCUUCAUGAGAUUCCUUUUAAUCCUCCGAAUUUGGAACCCUUUCUGUCUCUUUCAGUUCAAAUUUAGGGUCAAACUGCUGUUCUUUAAAUAGCAACAUCAGAUGGAAGACUUUAAUAUCCUCCUAGCAGGAGAAUUACCAGAAUAACCUGCCAAGUCUAUGAAACAUCCUGUGGUAAGCCAACUAAAAUGCAAGUUGAUGUGGAGCCUCAGUGGCAACCAUACCUUGUUGACCAAUUCCUCUUUGGAGGGCUGAUCCAUCUGUAUCUGCAAUUUGUCUCAGUCCUACUAAGGCCUGCCAACUUUGAAAAGAAAAAGGGAAAUAUCAGAUGCAUUCUUAUGUUUGUUGAUUUAUUUAUUCAUUCUUUUAUAAAAAAUAAGAAGAGCAGAUCUUCUCAUGCAAAGAAUUCUUUGAGGUUGGAAGAGAGAUUCUGUAAUAUGCAUGUAAUUUUAUGGCUACAAGAGAUUUUGUCAGACAACUGACAUGUUAACUUGACAGGACUAGAACCACAUGAUCCAAAAUAUUUAAGCACAAAUCAGUAGUAAUACACCUAUCAAAUACUUAUAAAUCAAUUCAAAAUGGGAUGCUGCAUGAUGCCUAUUUGGAUUACAUACAUUUAUGUUAUAUUUAUGCUGUUUAAAUAAAAAAAUUACAUCACUUAGCUUUCCCACAUUCUCAUAGCUAUAUUUCUUUCUAGUAACAAGCCAUAAGAAUUUGAUAUCUGCAAUAAACUAGAUUCAUUGUUCUUUAGCUGCAUUUCAUUGGCACAACAAUGAACACACUGAUUCUGGUGACAACCAAGAUAUCAAUUCAACAGGUCAAAUUACACAGCUGCCUCUUCUUGGCAUCUUGAAUGAAUAGAAAAAGGAUCCACUAAAUUAGAAUAGAAAAUUCAAUCAUUUUUAAGCAUAUAACGAAAAGGCAAAGCAUGAUCCAGCUUCCAGUGUUAACAAGUAGCCAAGAAAUAGAAGGCAAAGCCAUCUAACCAAUCUUGAGAACUCAGUUUCCGUGCCAACAAACACAUAGAGAAACUUUCAUUAACUAAUGUGCCGAAGAAAUCAAACAAUACCACACUCGCCAAACCCUAAUGAAGGAAGAAGCAAUUUACAGAAGAAUCGAACCGCACAAGAGAUCUAAUUUAGUUCCUACCAUCUGGUAGGCAAUGACAGACUGCACCAUUGCGCACAUCCAGCUCGAGGUUUAUGCCAUCCUGCAUGUGUCUAUUGAUGACUUCCUCAAGGUCGUCCAUAACCAUCACACCUCUGUGCCCUUAGUUGGACAACAAUGCAAGAGAUGUCAUCUUUGCUAGCUUUAUUCACUGCUUCAGCUGUCAAAAGCCUAGCUGCUGCUUGUGGAUCCUUAGCCUUUCUAGCAAUAUCGACUGCAUCUUCAUUGCCCAUGACCUAAACAGGAUCGGUAAAAUCCAUGUAUUUGGAUGUUGGUCAGCUAAUUAAUACAUAAGGGAGUACUCGAUUACUGGCUUAAAAGGCCUAAGAUGCAAACCUUCCACAGGCCAUCACUUGCAAGGAUGAGUAGAUCACAAUCAGCAGUCACAUCUUCAAAGCGUAUAUCGGGAUCUGAGCUCAAAUGGGAUUUGAGGCUCUUGUCUCCAAAAGCACGGGAAACAGCCAAUUGACCAUUAACUCUGGGAACGUCUCCUGAUAUCAUAAUAUUAUAACAAUCAGCAUUUGUCUCAACUGAUAUGGAUCCUUGUUUCAGAUACAAAUGAUAACAUCAUGAAGAAUAUAUUACAUGUUUACCUUCUUUCUUUUUUGGGCAAAGGAUAAGGGGUGAAGAUGAAACUUGAUCUAAAGACUUUACUGUCCACCGUCAAAGCUUAAGCUAGCUGACAAAUAUGUCAUAUGAGAUUUCGAAUCUCAACCUUCAAAUAUGUCGGAUGAGAUUUAAAACCUCAACCUUUGAUAAGUGAGUGUAUUUAACCCUCAAAUAAUUGGUGUAUGCUGUGUUGUGCGUCGAGCAUAUUUGAUUGAAUGUUUCAUAUAAAAUAAGUAAAAGCCCAAUUUUUCAACAAAAAAAAAAUCACAGAUAACAUGCCUGAGAUCCUAAUUAUGUAUUAAUGUCUCACAAAGAUGCUAAAUAUAGCCAAAUUUCUCAUGUCGGAUGAAAGAUAAACUAUAAGAUGAUAUAGAAGCAUUUGCUAUCCCCAAAGUACCAACUUUUUAGAGGCAAAGCCAAUAAGACAAGGUUUCAGAUAAGAAGUGAUGCAUAGUACGAACAAGGUUUCAUCUUUCAUGUUUCAAAUGUAAGAAGAUUAAGUAUAAGCUCUUAAGUAGGGAACAUGUGUAGCAACAUGAAACCUUAUAUUCAUCAAGUUGAAAUAUUCAUUAGGUUUUGCAAUUUCCUUUGAACUUGGCGUAAAUUGUUUUCAGAAUAUUUAUAGUUGCAAGAAGCUACUCAUUCAUAGCCAUUCUGGUUGCUAAGAUGUAAAUAAAGUUAGAUGCAAUCGAAAGUUGAAAUUGUAGGGAGUUGGCUUGAAGAGAAAAGGAUGCAUGUAUGAGACUUCUUGAGGACAAUGUACAAACCUGGCAUGUUCGAGACAAAUCCACCUCUAUUCUCGAUACUUCCACGUUCAGUGCUGGGUUCAUGAUCAACAGUCAAUUGUAUAACCUCUCUACCUUUUGCAAGAACAGCUCGUGAAUCACCAAUGUUAGCAAUCCACAAUCUCCUUCCAUUCAUGAGAAUUGCAGUAACAGCUGUCGAUCCACCUUGUCCUAGAUCGGGACUUUGUGACAAAAUUGCCUUGUCAGUCUUUCCAUAGGCUUUGAAAAUUGCUCCUCCUGGAUCAUUCCAAAAAUCUUCCUAAAUCAUGAAAGAAAAAUAGAUUUAGAUAAUUUACUCGCUAGUAGUUGCUUGUUUUCAUGAAAAAAAUAAUUAAAAGUUGAUAUUUUAUCAUAGAAAACAUAGAAAAGGAAAAUAAAAAAAAAGUCAUAUCACACCUCUUUAAGAAUGUUAGUAAACAGAUGCUUCUGUAAAUAGGCAGGUACAUCAUCACCCAAAUGACCAUCAAAUAUAGCAAAGAGACCAAGCUCCUGCCCCCUUAUCUGGAUGAACUUUGCAACAUGAUAAUCUUCCAUUGGAUGAUUAGCCCUCCCCUUUACAAGACUAAAACCAUAAGUAAUUUUUACACCACUCAGAGAACUUUUUCCUUUACCAGCAUCAUUUGAAGAAUGACCUGCAAGCUAUAUCGCAGCAAUUUUCAACCUAAUGACGUGAUGAGGUGGAUGGCACUGAAAUUUCCGAGUCUAUGGGAGCUAACAUAAGAUGAAAGAUGAUAAUCUCCAGAGACUGGUAACUAGAAUUGUAACAGAAGCAUUCUAUCAUGUAAAUAUGAAUAACCUCAGAGGUAAUAUGUGCAACACUCUGAGUUUAAUUUCACAAAAUUGAAGAUAGUUUCUAAUAAUAGAAAAAAACAGCAUGAACAUAAUCCUUAUAGAGCACUGAUUAUGUAUCUACUUCAAAUCAUUUAGUGUAUAAAGAUGCUAUUCAAGAGCAGAUGACUCCUAUAAGGGAACCACAAUCCAAAGAACUAAAAAGUAACUGGACUUAGUUGCCCCCUUUUCCAUAUCUGAUUCUAGUUCAGAUUAUGUUGAGUUGCUUCCUUGCUUAUUUGAGCCUUAGAAAAAAAACUAGAAUAUCGUUUUCCAUAUGUCGGAUGACACAAAAAUGAAAUUUUACAAAUAAAUCUUUUGAGUUAAACAAGCCAAAAAGCUUGCAUAGGCAUAUCUCAUUGUACUGAUAUCUUUCUCGUGCAUGCCAGUACUUUCUCUAUAUCUGACUCUGGUUCAGGUUUGCUUUAGUGGCUCCCUUGCUCAUUUGAGCCGUAGAAAAAAUUAGCUUCUCAUAGCAAAACCUGUCACUUUGAUGGCAUGAGUAAAAAUUGUGAGUAAAAUUUAGUUUGAAUGCACCUUGACUGCAUGAGAUUGAAUGCAGAAAACAUCAAAAACUCUUUAUCUAAAAACUACACAUUUAAGUCUGUGGCAGCUCCAAAUCAGCCGAAAUUUUCCUCGCCAAAAGAUUGGCAGUAGUGUUAGAUGCUGAAUUGUCAUCGGGUUGACACCACCAACUAUUUUCUGCAGUCUGGCAUCAGGCUUAGUGGUCAUGGGUCUCUCUCGUAUGGCCUUUCAACUUUUAACCGGAGUGUAUGACCGAUCAGACGGCUCAAUGCACAUAUUCUAUACUUUUGAGUCUACUGAACUUUCAGUUCCGCCUGUAGUUACUUAACUCUAGGAAUUGAUCCUAUACGAUGGUUGGCAUCUGAACAGAUUCUUGUUAGCUCGCCAAACAAGUAAUGCAGCUACACCCAUAGCUUUUUAAAUCUUACAAAUUAUUGAGGAAAUUCUUUUUUUCUGGUAAGAAUGUUCUUCAAGUCCAAACAUUCUUGUCCUUCGUAUUUUCAAGGGUAUCUUUGCUGCAAAACGAAAAACUAUAGUCAAUUCUUCCAAAUAUAUUUCUAAAUUUCCUUAGCGUUUGAUAAUGUAGUGAGUUCCUAAAAGAGUAAUCACUAACCGAGGGUGGACUUCCUAUAAAGAACAGAAGAACUGUUAUUUGAACAAGGUAAUGAAAUUGAUCAAGUCCCAAAAGGAAAUUAAUUCCUAAUAUGAGACAGUGCUGAUGGAAACAUUAUGGACAUGGAAAAGAAAAACCAGAGGGCUCAACUGUUCUUUAAUUUCCCCACUCCACCGGUCAAAGACUGAUAGAAAAGGAAACAGAAAUGGAACUCCGAUCAAUCUAAAACUAGAAAUUUCCAAUGCCCAACAUAUCAAGAAUCCAUAUACCAUAAACAAGGCAUAAGAAAAACAAUCUACGUCAAGCGAUCUCUCACCUGAGAGCAGGAACCACUGAAGCAGCAUAACUUGUCCAUAAGAAUCCCCAGAUAUACUCCCACCAGCUAAAUCCUGAAGUGCUCAUCCAUACCAAUCCCGCAGUAUGCGAUUUCGAAGACGGUCACACCGCUAAAACCCUCGAUCCCAAAAGAGAACCCCCACCGAUUCCGCGAAAUCGUCCGCCAAGAUCAAACCUUUAUCCAAGAUUUGGUGGCGACGACGAGCGCAAAGAUCGGAUCUUUAUGUCCCUCUUGAAGCAAAAAAGAAUCGAUUUGGGGAAGACGAGAGAAGCGACCAAAGCGCCGAUUGUGAAAUAGCAAGAGGAGGAGGGGCGGGGCCACAGCGACAGGCUCCCAUCUGUUGACUUUGCUGGCUCCCGGUACGGCACGACACACAUGCAAGUAUUGACCCCCGUGAGGUGAUGGGACAGCGAAGAGUGGAAUUUAUUGGGAACUGCCCGCUGCCUACCGUCGUCCUCCCCAACGCAUCCACACAGUCCUUUCGGCGCAGGUGUGGGCACCAAAGACAAAGGAAGUGGUUGACCCGAUUUGACUUGACUGCCCCACGUUGAGACCUCCCAUGUUGUGCCAAUCGGCUGCUGCUUAGAUUCCAAAAGAAAAGUUGACCAAGUGCUCUCGUGAGUUGCAGCGGCAGACCGACCACGGCGGUCCCCCCGCCCCUUGCACCCAUUAAAAUCCAAGGGGAAGCAUUUGACCUCACUUCCUGCGCCGGCCGAGGCAGGGUUCAGGAUUUUUCAACCACACCAGACGACGGAUCCCCAUCGCCGACCGAUGGAUUGCCAACAAAACCUGAACCCUGAGAGAACCCUGAUACCGCAGCAGUUUGACCGGGCAGACAAUUAAUGUCGCACAGGCAUGGAAGUGCUGCUACAGUGUGAAGACGAUCUCUCUCUCCAUCACGAUACAGUGACGGAUUUAAUGUGCGCCAACUACAUACAUGCACUGUUUGAGAAGAAGGACGCACCUUCGUCGGCGGAGAGGUUGAAGGAUGAUGCUGACACUGACACUUGGGUAGUACUUUUGGUGAUCCAACAAGUAUCAACUCUAACCUAAUCAGAUCAAGGAUUUAGGUUGUCAAAAUGCACGAGAAGAAGUGAUAACAUAUAGUGCACUUAUGCCAUAUACAGGAAAUCCACAUUUACCUCUUUGGAAGAUUAAGCUGAAAUCAUCACCUUUGGAGUUGCCAAAACAGAAGCUUGUGUGUAAUUCAAGGGAAAAAUCACCUAUGAGCAACAUGGCCUGAUCCUAUAAUAAUCCUGUUGAAACAAAAGAAUGGAAAAGGAAGCGACAGAAAGGAAUAUAAUGUAAGAGAAAAAGACACAAAGGUAGCAUUAGUGGAGAGUGGAGUAGGAAAAACCAGAACAAAUUGAGUUGCCAAAGGGACUAGCUUGAUGUGAACACAUGUCCCUACCACUUGUAAGGGUGAUUGUUUGUCACCUUUAGAGAGAUGGAAUUUAAAUCUGCAUACAACAAAAGAAAGAACAGUCAUCAUUAGAUUAAAAAGGAUAACAUGUUAGCAAAAUGUUGUAGAACAAAAAGAAACAAAGGUGGUGCUUUAGAGCACCACCAAAGGGAAUGAUUACACAUGGUCCACUGGAAAAGGGUAGAAGAGUGUGAUAGACAAGAUCAUUCUUUACAGAGUCAAAAGUCCUUAAGCUGAUGCUCUAAAGUGAGAAUAAUAUUAGAAUCAAGAAAUUAUCAAAAGUAAUGUAAAAAAAAUCCUCUAAUUAUUCAUGCAGAAACAAGUGUACUCUGCUUAUUUUUCUUCUAAACAAAAGGAAAAAAGGAAAACUUUCCUUGUGUAACUGAUACCAAGAACAUGAUCUUGUUCCAUUAUCUGUAUUUACUUUACUUUCCCAACACUAACAAGGGGGCCUUUGUCUUGUUGUCUUGUGAUCCGUGAUGUUUAGAAGAAGAAGAAGAGUUAAGAAUUUGCAUUAGCUUAGCAAAGAACUAAACAGGGCAACAGUUAUGGAUUCAAAAGGAGAGGUGGUCAUCGAAGAGAUGAGCUUGGAGGAGCAGAGCUGUCUGCCAAAGGAGAAAGGUGGGAUGCCUUUAACCAGUUAAACAGUGUUGACCUAUUUGGUAGAGUGCUAACAAGUGCAAAUUACUCUCCAAAAAGCUUGACUUCUACAAGAAAAGCAACCUCGUGAUGCUACUUGGGUAAGCUUCCACGGGAUUGGACUGCACUCCACUCCAUUCUCGAGGGUAUUUGAGCACCUAACCUCUUACCAUCGACUGUGAGCAGAAAUAUCGUAACGUCCAUCAGUGAUUGAACGGGAACUGCAUCAUCUCAUAUAUAUCUAAGGACGAGGUUGAGCUCGACGCCGACUUCCUCCGCCACAUCCUCUCCAGGAUCGAGUGGAAGGCCCUCGCGGGGGCCAGGAAGCUGGACUCCGGGGACUUCCUCCGCCGCUUCAGCCGCGCGCAGCUCGGGAUCCAAGUCGAGGAGAGCGCCCUCGUCUGCCACCGAUUCACCGACAAGAGGGGCAUCGUCCAAGACGAGGUCAGAUUCAAGUUUCCGCCUUUGUUCGUCUUCUUUCUUUUCUGUUGGGUUAUAGAAUUUAGGGAUUUUGAGGGUUCGUCUAUCCGGUGAUGAUGGGAGUAAUUAUGGACUGGCAGUGGAAAAUACAGGUGAAAGGCUUUGUUCUAAUAUGUCUUUGAUUAUAAUGUUAUUAUUUUCCAAAAAAAAUGCUAUUGUUUCCCUAAAGCCCCUUAACUUCAGUUUUGAUACGAGAUAUGUAGAAAGGUAAUUGAGGGAAUUAUUGCUCAAAAAAAUGGUGAAUUCAUAUUCCGAAUUAUAUCAUACUUCAACGAUGGAUAUAUCAAUAUGAAUCUUGAAGCGACACGAUUGACAAAAGAGAUGCUUCGAGGUGUUCGCACCUUUCGUACGAGGAAAGACUAAUCGAUAUGUCAGCAUGAAUCUCAAAGAGACGAUUGAUGGAGCGAUGCUUCGGAGAAGAUUACGUUCUCUUACCUAUCUUAUGAGGAAUACCUAAAGGGAUCUUUAUAGCUUGGGUCAAGAAAUAUGCACUAAUCUGGAGAAAAUUGUGACAAAGCUUUCCUUUGAGUUCACCCAUUGCUUUUGAAGAUCCUUAUGACAAAGAUUUGCAACUGGUGCUAGAAAACCGUACAGAGCAUGAAUCUUAACUCUAGUUUGUAACAUUUGUUAGAAGAUUUGACUGACCUGUGAACAAUGUGAACAAGUUCUUCAACAUGAUUGGUCAAGCUUGAAGUGCAACCUGGAAGAACAAAAGAAACAGAUGCUUUUACCUUUGUUUCUUUAAAUGUCAACCAUUGCAAGUGAUGAGUUGAGGAAACACAACUCUUAUCUAAUUCUAAAAUACAGCAUUACAACCUCGACAAGUGAUUCAGCCAUGAGAUGAAAGCUUGGGGUGAAAAAUAUUACUUGCUAAUCACUGCCUUUCCAGCUAGAUCAAUAUAUGGAAAAGCUAUAUCACAGUUUUUCAUGAACAUCAAAACAAGAUUGAUCAAACAGACAAAUCAAUAGAAGUAAUCAAAAUAAUAUAAUAGAUGUGAUACAAUGGUUUAAAUGAAUCGAAUUGCAGACAAAUCUUAUUCUGCUAAAGAAAAAACCUAGCAGUCUAAAAAACUGUACCACACUGCCAUAGCAAUAGUAGUUCCUUUCAGCGACAAAGAAACUUAAAAUACAAGUACAGGCUCAGUAACAUUCUUCUGGAGAGAGUAGAUUUAUGGUGUAAUCCCUUCAUUACCUGUAAGGCUGCAAGAUGAGCUUGAAACUCUGCCUCCUUUACAGCAGCUGAAAAGAACCAGAUCUUUUAGCUUUUUAGCAGGCUCAAAACUUGGCAAAAUUGAUUGAGAAAAUGAAGCCGGUCAUACUCUUUAUCUUCUGUGAACUAUACUGGUCCAUCUAUUUGAACCAAAACUAAUUUACAUCAACACAUUGACGUCUGUGUUGUAUCCUGUUAGAUUACCAGAUCCAAAUCUUUUAUGACUUCUUGACAUGUUCGUUGUCAGGUGAUAGGGGCACACCAAAGACCCAGUCGAGCACAUUCAAGUACUUUGAUCGGAACACCUCUCUUUCUUGUGCAUAGCAGUGCAUGAUAAUGGCUGUGGCUAAACUGAAUACGGCCACAUCAGCUCGCUUAAACUUCGAUGCUUGAGGUAACAGUCCGGCAUCAGCCAAGCAUGUGAAGAAGCUCUCGAUUGCUCGGGCUAGACAAUACAAAGAUAUCUCGAUCCUUCUAGUCUUUUUCUCAAUUAGUAAUGCCAGGCCAGUAGGAAACUGUAAUUGACCAGAUUUAGUAACCAAUACUGUCGAUGAUAAACAAACACCUGACGAGUAAACUUACUGUGCCAAUUGCGACCAUUGGAAUGUUGCAUCUUUUAAGGAUUCUGAAAAGCAGGCAAGUCCAAGCCCUACAAAAGAAAAUCACUGACAUUUGAUCACAAGAUCACAGCAAAACUCAGACUGGUUUAGCAAUUGUGACUGUAUUUUUGAUGAAUUUGAAGUCAUAAACUACUAAUAGCUCAUCUAUUUAAAAACCAUACCAUAGAGAUCAUAAAAAGAUUGGUAUAUGGAGAUCCAUAAAUGAUGUCUCAUUCAUCGUUGAUAAGAUAUGAAUAUGAUGUAAAACAAAGUAGAGAGAAGAGAGAAGUUGAGAGAAAGCAAGAGAGCGAGAGGAGUGUAAGAGACUAGGAGAGAAAAGAUGUAAACCUUUUUUCAUUCAAAUCUGAAGUGCUUGAUCCAUUAACAAGCUCAACUAUUUAUAGGGGUUUAGGAGCCUUAGUACAAUUAAUGAAGAUAAUAAUUCACAAGAAUAAUCUCCUAAGGAAUUAGCAUGCCUUUUAGAAAUCUAAAAUAUGACUUAUAUGAUACCUAAAUAGUAAAUGAGUGUACUUAAUACAAAAUAAAUCCCUAGAAAGACCAAUAAACCUUUCAAUUUUCAACACAACUUUUAGAAUUUCUAGGCCAACUAAUUGAUGAUUUUUUGUUGAUAUCUUUGUCUGGAAUAAAUUUUUCUAAAAUUCUUUGUAAAACUCGAUGGUUCUCCAUCAUUCUUCCCUGGUGGAAAACAACUUGACCCUGGAGAAUGAUCUGCAAGGUAUUGGUCCAAUAAGUCUAGUGCAAAGUCACGAAGUUCUUCCAAAGUAAUCCAAGUGGCAUUGGAAGCUAGACGAUCAUGCCACUUGACAAAAAAGUGUUGCGUAAUACUAGUAGCAGAUAUAACAAGGCGGUCAUCAAAAAUUGCCUCUACGUCAUCCCUAUGUCGUGGGAAAAUCGAUGCUUUGGGAGAAUUGUCAUAUGCAGAAACACGGAUAGACAGUGGAGGCUCAAAAAUACUAUGAUUUGAAGUUAAAUUCUCCACAUUAAAAACUAGAUUAAUAUUUAAGUCGGAAGGCAAAUUGAGCAUAUAUGCAUUAGAUCAUAAUUUUUGGAAAAUAGGAAAAGAACCAAUGGCUCGGGUAUGCAACUUUUUAAAUGAGUUUUUAAGGAAUCCCUCAAGAUGAACACUAACCAAAACAAAGUUGCCAACUUGAAACUAUUGACUUUUACGAUAUACAUUAGUACCAAGUUUAUAACUUUCAUUACUUAGGACAAUUUUAUGUUGAAUCUCAGCAUGCAAAUCAUGAAUACGUUGAGAGGAGUGGACUAGCCCUGAGGCACGAUAAUCAUCAAGUGGAAGGAGUACAAGGUCGAUGGGGGGUGUGAGGAGUAUAGCCGAAGAUAGUUUGAAAUUAGCUUUUUCUAGUAGAGCGAUUGAUUGAGUUAUUAUAUGCAAAUUAGAUAGUGGGUAAGGUUAAGUCCCAGUUUCCGAGUUUCUCCCCAACUAAACAUCUAAAAAGAUUUCCUAACAAAUGAUUAAUAACCUCAGUUUGACCCUCGGACUGGGGAAAAUGAUUAGAAGAGUCAUAGAAUAUGCCAGACUUUGAUGGUAGGUUUGACCCAAAUAUGUUUGUUGACUAGCCAUGGAAGGCUCCUUUGAGUGGCGUGGAAUGAUUGAUAUUGAACAUGUACAAUUUGCAAAAAUGAAACUGGUAAGGUCCGCUAGAAAAUAUUGGCAACAUGUCCAACAUAGUCUCGAACACCAUCAAGAGCCUCGCAUCACUCAAUAGGAAAUCAGUGAAACAAAAACUCAAGAAAAAAUAUUUACCAACCUACUUUCGAAGCCAAUUGGUUGAACAAUAGUUAAACCUUAAACAAUUGAAUUCUAGUGUAGUAGAGUGUUUGGCCCAAUUUGAGGAACUUUUACCUAAGUGUGAAAUAGAAGAGGACCAAAUUAUCAUUGUUCGAAGAUUUGUUAAUAAGUUGAGGUUUGACAUUCAACGGGAAGUCUCUCUUAAAGAAGACUUCUCAAUCUCUCGACAAUAGAACUAUUUUCCAAUCUACCCCUAGUAGCUCAGUCAAGCCAAAAAUCCCUACUAAUAGCAAUAAUCCUGGCUCAACCAUGACUCGUCCAACUCGUUUAACUAUUGAUUCUCAAACUAGUUCGUCUUCAAUCUAGUGUCAUUAUUGCCAUAAUAGAAGUCACAUUGCCUCUCGUUAUCCUCAAUGUACCCUUAUCUUAAAGCAAGAACCAGAGGAUCAAAUCGAAGAAGUAGACCAAGUAGUUGACCUCGAAACCUGCUAACGUGAUGGAAACGAACUAGAAAUUGAUGAUGCCCAUGCUAUUCUCUCUACUGCUAGUGAUACGCGUAGUCUUAAAAUCUAAAGUGUAGAGAGAAGAGAGGAGUAGAGACCUGGCUUUAAUACCAAACUGAUGUAAAACAAAGUAGAGAGAAGAGAUGUAGAGAGAAAGCAAGAGAGCAAGAUAGCAAGAGAAGAGUAUAAGAGACUAGGAAAGAGAAGAUGCAAGCCUUUUUUUUACUCAAAUCUGAGAUGUUUGAUCCAUUAACAAGCUCCACUAUUUUUAGGGGUUUAGGAGCCUUGGUAUAAUUAAUAAAGAUAUUAAUUUCCAAGAGUAAUCUCCUAGGUAAAUAGUAUGCCUUUCAGAAAUCCAAAAUGUGACUUAUAGGAUACCUAAAUAGUACAUGAGUGUACUUAAUACAAAAGGAGUCCAUAAAAAGACCAAAAGUCUUUUUAAUUUUCAAUACAACUCUUAAAAUUUCUAGACCAAAUAAUUGAUGACUUUUUGUUGAUAUCUUUACCUAAAAUAAACUUUUCUAAAAUCUUUUAUAAAGCUCGAUGGUUCUCCAUCAAAAUCACUAUUUCAAUUCUGGUUCAAAUAACAGAUAAAUGAUACCGGUACUCAGAUAUCACAUCAUGCAACAUAAAACAUAGACAGAAAAAGCUUGCCUACUAAAAUUAGGUGAAUCAAGUCUAGGACUGUUUUCUAGCCCCUCUACCACAAAUGACUGAUUUUUACAGAUGGAAAGCAUAAUCAUCUUCUACAUUGAUGAACCAGGCUAAGUUUGUUAUAAAAACAACUGAAACAGACAGAUAGUUAGGCAAAUGAAUCUGACAAAAACAAAUGGCUAGCAUGUGUAUAAGAGAGGAGAGCAAAAGCUAACCAGGCAGAUGCACAAUAUACAGAGAGGAACAGGCUGGAUCUUGCAGUUCCCAGAAGACUCUUCCCAAGAAUUGUGUAAGGCCUGCAUAGGCGGGAAAAUAAGAGAACCAUUACAAACAUUUAGUACGAAUUUGUGAUAUGGUGAAAAGGCAACUCUCCGAAGAGGACGAUGUUAGAGGGUCAAAAAUCAAAAAUAAAAUACAGAAUACCACGAUGUCAAAAUUGAGGGAGAACAAAAAAGAAAGUUCCAUUUUUAAGUCUAUAGAAGAAAGGAUCCUCGUCAAGCACUUUUAUAUCAAGUCUGACAGCAUAAAAGACCAAAUAAAUCAUUUGGGAAAAUAUUCAAUAUCUGCUUCUCAGUGGUAGAUGUUGAAAAUUCACUGACAAAUGUUAGGAUCUUAUCCGAUAUCUAUAGCAAAAUUAAUCAUAUUUGAUUUUAGCUAUAAGACUAGAGACCAAAAACCAUGAAUGUGUAAGGUGUAGAAGAAGCAUGACACCAAAUGUAGCUAUAACAACUCCAACAAAAAUGACUAAAGAAGCUGAAAAUGAAAAAAAAAAAUAGUGAUGGCCAUCAGAAACACACAAAACUAUAUGCCCAUUAUUGAAAAGUCAGUUAGAUGAUUUUGGGUCUUCACCAGUAAACGAAGAAAGACAGAUACAAGCUACAAUUAUUAAAAGGAUCAAAAUCAUGUAUAGAUUCUCCAUGAAUUCACUCUACCAUAGGCAUUAUCCAUGAUGUUUGCUCCAAAAUCAAAAUGAACCAAAUAUAUCUAAACUUGUGUGUCCUCAAUGUUUAAUGAGGUCAUGCAGUGCAAUUUAUUUGAUUUUUAAUUUGAAUCUACAUAUCCUAUUUAUUUUAUUCAGGUUGCUAAUUCAGUGGCAGAGUACUUAGCUCAUAAAUGCGACUAUUACAUUUUACACAUUUAGAUGAAGCCAGAAAUUCAUCCAGACCCUUGAUAGGCCAUAAUAUCAUGACUGACCCCUCGAAAUAAUGAUUGAAAAAGGUGACACUUAAAUUACAUUUCUACGGGUUCAAAGAUAAGCCUGCUUCUAUCUUAUCAGUAAAACAAAUUUUCUUUUGCAAAUCAAAGUAUACAGAGAUUACAAAAAAUGUUUUGUAACAGUCACAAAGUGAGCUCAUGGAACUCUUUAGAUUGUUUAAGUGCAGGAUUUUGGACAUGAACCAGAACCACACAGAAAAGCUAGCCACUGUUUUUUUGGGUUCAUUGCCUAUACAGGAGCCAACAUCUCUCGUGCACAUCCAAUGUGAGACUACAACCAUGCAAACAAGACAUUAUGUUAAUGACAUUUCUAAGUUUCCACCACUCUUUUAACCUUCAAGAUUUAGAAAGAUUUUAACUUAUAGAAGCAAGUCUGGACUAAACAUGAGUUACCAAACAUACCACAGAUAUUUCAAGAAAUUACCUGUCAUAGGGUCACAUAACUUUCAGAACCUAUGAUGUUGGACUAGAAUUAUCAUCUAGGCAAGUUUAGCCUAGUCUAAAAGUGCAGACCGGUGCUCAAGGCUCUCUGCCAAUGAGGGUCUAAGGAGGGUCAAAGUGUGCAGCAUGGACGUGUUUAAUGUUAACAAUGUAAUUGUUAUUAUAAAUAUAGUAUUUAACUCAAUGAUCACAUCUUUGAAGAAGCUGCCCUAGUUUGAAAAAGAAAUCUACACAUGUAGCUUUACAGAUGACAUAUAAAAUGGCAUCUCCACAGGACACUACCACAAUCUCAUCCUUAGCAACCAAACUUCAUACUUCAAAAGCCACUCUUGCACCACAAACAUAUUUCAUAGCAUUUUGGACACUUGGGGUGAAAUAAAUGGACAUUCCAUAAUCUUUACUGCAAAAACAUCACAGAAUGACUAGUAGAAAAUGGUGAGACAAUAAAACUUAUGCAGAUGCAUGCUUUUUUUAUACCCAAGCUCUUCCUAUGGUUAAGUGACAAUGAAACUUUUCCAUCUAACAUAAUGAUAUCAGAUAUGGUCAUGAUCAGGGUUUGCCAAACUGGGUACCAGACCCGACUUGGAGAUUCUUUGGGCCAGCAUGUACCAAUCUGUACCGGUGUACCAUGUGUGGGUACACUGGUAAGUACUGGUGUUUAGGAGAGGAAGAAAAAAGGGAGAAGAGGAAGGGACAGUGGAAGGAGGAAGAAAUAGGGAAGGAGAGGAAGCGCCGAAGGAUGGAGGAAUAGAAAGACUUACCUGAGAUGUGGCGAUGUGUAGUGAGUUCGUGAUUGCACUCCGGCCCGGUAGCCACCUACGUGAGAAGCAUCAAUCGCAGCGGUGGAGGCAACAUUCGCGAACCCUACGAGGCAGAGGCGACAGUCUCAAGCCGCAGCGCUCACAUGAGAAGUGGGAAUUAGGGUUUCCCACUUCUCUUAUGUGACGGACUAGACCGGGGUGCGUCCACAUGCCGGUCAGCGUCCGGACCGAUAUGUGCUGCUCAUUUCGUACCGGUCCAAGAGAAAUUAUUAUCCCACUCAUGAUCAUGUACCAAGUUAUCACAUCGUUCAACACAAUUUAGACAAUAGUUCAAGCAAAUACACAUACUUCACAUCUUAAUUUCAAUAUAAACCUAGUCCCUUCCUAUACAGAAUUAACUAAAGAAGCUCUAAAUUUUCAGGCAUCAAUUUGUGCGUGAUAAGAAACAAGCUUACAAAACAAACAUGCCCUUGACUUGGUGUACUUGCACCAUGACAAGUAGUAGGGGAACUCAAAAUUUCCUCAGAUAUUCAUGGUUGAGAAAUUUUCCAUAAAGUAAUAAGAUUGGAUUAAAAAUAUAUACGAGGAUAUAUCAAAUGCACCCUAAAUAAGUCAACAUGAUAAUUGCUAUAAUAGAUGUACAAGGAAGACUUUUGAAUGUUUACCAUGAACCAAACAAACUAAUGACAAAAGAUUAUUUUGUUUCCAAGGCCUAAAUCUUGAAGCUUGACUUCUGACCGACUGGAAAUAAAUGAGCAAAGACUAUGCACAAAUGAAUUUAUAAUUCUUAAAUUUAUGUAAAUGCUUUUUUACCCUAAUCAGUGAUCACAGACUAGCAAUGUAACUUAAAGAGGAAUAGAAAUGAAAAACUAUUCAAGCUUUCUUUACAGAAUAAGUUAAGAGGUAAACUCAAUACCUUUUCAAAAGACCCUGACGAUGAACUAUGAGUGCAGGAACCAAGUAGACUGGAAGAUAAACUGGAAUUGCUCUUCCGUAUUCUUGGAAAAGGAAAGUUAUGAAAUGCCUAGAACAAGAUUGAUUGCCAUGAACAAUCUGCAAAAAUCAAUAACUUUUGUAAUUGAUGAAUAAAUCUAACAUUAGGAGUUACACUAUAAGUGUGCAAGUAGAUAAAUUCUGAGGUUCAUCUACAAAAAAUCAUUAUUUUUUAAUAAUAUAAAUCCAAACUUCAUCCACCAACAUGGGGUCAGCUACUAAGCUAUAGAGGACAUCUUAAAACCGAGAGUUGAUACCAGCAGUCAUAAACAAUCUUCUGUUUCUGAAACCUAAUUACAGUUUACAUACCAUAUUAGAUCCAAACAACAAACAUGUUGUCUUCCAACUCCUAAAAUGUACAAUCAUGAGUUUAAUUUAAGCAAAGUACCUGUAUAGUCACAUUCUAGAAAAUUUGGUAAACCACAAGACUUCUUUUGUUGAAUUAAACACCAGCAGCUAAUACGGAGAAAAUUUAAAAGAUAGGCAUGAUCAGAGUUAUCAGCAGAAGUGGAUGAUCAUACAAGUCUCACUUAUAGCAAAUUCAGUUGAACAACAAAAGACGAAUGCACAACUAUCAUCAAUGAACAAAGAACCGAUAAAAAUUUGUGAGCAUAUUCAUAAAAUUACACAAAAGACCCCAGGAAUGGCUAUUAAUUUAAAGAAAAACGAAAACAUCAGAUUACACACCGAGCAUGGAACUUUCAUGUUAGGGUCUAGUUUCACAUCAACACUGAUAGACUUGUAAUACUUCUCAAUCUUGUCUAAAUUGGAAAAAGGAAUACUGGAUGCAAUUUCUUUAACACCCUGGAGAAUGACAGCAUCUUUUCCACCAUGCUUAUUAAGAAAUGACUUGUAUGAUGAUGGCAAACUAUCUUGCUUCAGAAUGUAAGCAGACCUGCCAAAAACUAGAUAAAUGAUAAAAUAUACCAAAAUCAAAUUUAAAUCCAUACAAUAAAAGGGUAAUGGUAUAAAUUAUAGUAAUAGGUGGAUUUUUUUUUUAUAAGACAAGACGAAUCAUGGGAUGGCAUAUCCAACGACCUGAUCACAACAAAUUCAUUUAUCUGGACCAGUAUCAAAGUACAAAAGCACUAUCUAGCCAGUUGACAUGGAAUAGAGUUGUAGAACGUAGAGUCACAAAAAUUUGAUGCAUCAGCGCAUUUGUAUUGAACCUAAAUAUUCCAGACAAAAUUUUCUUUCAAGUUAUGCUUAAACAUAUCUGUCAAAAGUAGUUCUCAAAGGGAGAAGCAAAUUUUUCUAAAUGAAAAACAUAUCAAUGGGAAUAAAAAGUUUGUAUUUAACAAUUUUCAACCAAAAAAAAGAGGCAGCAUAAGAACAAUAAAGCAUCAUAAAAUUUUCUUCUGGACACUGAAGGCUAGAAGCAAUCAAUAGUUCAGUUCAAAAGGUUGAAGACAUUGAAAACUUCUUCUGGACAUUUUGAACCCAGUUUCUAGAUUUAAUAUGAAUAGAAUUUCACCAUAUUAAUCAUCACAAAGUAUCUAAAUCCUCAUAUAUCUUUAGCAUGUUUCAUUCAGUUUCACAGCCAGAUGAUUUUGUUUUACUUCUAGAUCCAACAAAGAACAAUGGUUUUACAUUAGGAAAUAUCUCUAUUAGAUCUGUCGUAAUAAAUCAAUUUAAUCAUAAUAGUCUAGACCAAAUUAAAAUAUCACCAGAUAUAAUGAAAAUGAAACAAAAUUUGUAUAAUCAAACAUACAGGAUUUGUGAAGAGGAAAGACACAUAAGAAAUAUGUCACCAUGUAGCCAUGUCAAUGGUCUACACAAACCACCAAAUCGUUCACUCUUUAUCCCACAACGUGAUGCCAGCACUGCAGCACGCAUAAGAAUGUAUAUAGCCAAGCUAGUGUGCUGUGUAUUUGGUCCCGUUAAGAGCAUUGAUGGACCAGCAAUCAACCCUGCUAUGAGGGAUCGCCAACCUGCAGUUCUGAGACAAAACAACAAACAGAAUUUCUAUUAAACUGUUAGCUCUCAUGACACCCUUAAAAUCUAUGGUUUUAUAAGGAUGUCAAACCACAGAUGAAAGAGAGUUAUGGUUAACAUAAGCACUCAAGAGAAUGCUGUAGCAUCACAUAAGAGGCUUUCAUUCUGUUUAUGUUUUAUAGGCAUGCUUCCACUACUAUUUAAUUCUGAUAGGAAGAUAAAAACAAAGGGCAGGCAAUAGAAUACAAUUUGAUGUGUUGUUGAUCUUUGAAUCUCAACAGUAAAAAGACCAUUUAGCAGAACUUAUCCUUCUUACAUGUUAGCCUUUCCCUCGAAAACUUUUGCACAAAGGGAAUUCCAAAUCUUUUGUGCUAACCACAUUCCAACUUAUGACACUAGGCAAAAACACUGACCAUGCUGGUCUCAAUUGUUCAAUUCUAGUGUGUUUGAUAUUAAAAAAAUUGAGCACAUUAAUACCACAACUAUACUGAUUAGAUAGAAAAUGAAGUUAAAGAGAUAUAUAUAAAAGUAAGGCAUCUUCAAAGAUUGUUCUAAUGCUAGGUAUUUUGCAAACAUAAAGGAUUCAGAACAACAAUAAAGGCUAGCUCAGUAAAUUAAUUAACUCUAGAGACAUAUUUAAAUGUUUCCCUUAUGAACAACCAUCCUCAAGAAGGAAAACCAAGGGUAAGCCAAAAUAAGUUAUGAUAUCUAAAACAGGACAUAGACAAACAUUGUGGAAGUGAGAAUCAUAGAAGAACGCAGCAUGGUAUGUCUGACAUACAAGGUUGCAGGAAGCUAGGAAGAGACUUAAGUUCCUACUUGAACCCACAGAAAUCAUCAUAAGACUAGAUCUUUCAUGUUGUUUUACAAGCAUACAAGCAUGAUUACAGUGUUAAAAAGGGUUCCCAGAAAAGAAUUCGAACUUUGAAUAGCCCACAGGAUUUAGUGAUAAGAAGGUUCCCAAGAGAGCAUUUGGGGUUGGAAUCAUUCACAGCAACUAGGACAUACACAUUGCCUUGGAUUAAUUGAAUUAGAUUGAGGAAUCAACCUUUUCUGGAAAAUCUGGAAAUUGGUUCAGAAAGCUGAAAACCAGAUAAAACCAUUUCGAGAUUGACCAAAAUCUACAGAGGGAAGUUGGAAACACAAAAAUUUGUUGAAACUUAAUGGAGACCCACCCAGUGUCAACAGUAAGUUGAAAUAGGACAAGUUGGUACAGUUUCAAUUAUCAAAGAUUCAAAGUCUCACACCAUAUGGGAUGUAUCAUCCAAUAUGCCUUGAGUUACUGUUUUUGAAUGUGUUACAGCAUCAGUAGAUCAUAUUUUGUAGUCAGGCAAGCAAACCCAUCUCAAUGGCACUUUGAUCCUCGUCAACUAGUAAUAGCUAAUCUACAGAAAAAGAAUCCAGGCCAUCACUAAUCAAUCUGUCAUGGUUGUUUCACCCGAGUCCAGUCUGGAAAAAAAAAAGGCAAGUCACUUUCAAUAGCUCACUAUCAAUGUACAGAUCCAUUGCACAUACAUAAUCAAGGAUAUAAUAGACUCCGUAUAAUUAAAUUAGGCCUUUCUUUUGUCAUAAUCAUAUAAUGUUGCCUCCUCGUAUGCUUUUUUUGUCAUUGAUUUACUAAAAUGUUAAGAACAGUGCAAAUUCUAGAAGAAAUCGCACCCCAUAAGACCAUGAAACACCUAUAAUUAUGAAACAAAGAAGAAAAAAACCUAGAACAUGAAGAAAAUAGAAGAGGCAUAACAAAGAUGAACUUUCCCAAUUCCAACAUGCUUUACCGUCUGUGGCCACCGAAUGCAGCGAUAACCUCGUCCACCGAAACAUAUGCUCCAGCAAACGUCCCCAGAAACAACCCAUAUCUCAGCGUCUCCUUCAAUGCCAAAACUACAGCCUCCUCAUUCGUGAAUACACCCGCCUUCCUGAAAAUUAACGCCCAUAAAAAAAGAUCAAAAAGUCAAGAAAACCAAAAUAUGCUCGCGUGAGAGGGGACUCGGGAGACCCUAUCGAUCAAACCUGGCGGACGGCCUCAAGGAUCUGCGGCUCUUCAACCGCACAAGAACAGAGAACAGCGCGAGCCCCCCCUUCAAGCCAGCGCCUAUCGCGAAACCCUUGGUCGCUGCCUCGACGCAACGCCGGAGCCUCCGCCGCUCCUCGUCGGGCGCCCGACGAAUGCCAGCGGGGAGGGUCGAGGGCGAAGGAGGAGGAGGAGGAGGAGGAAGAGGAGCCGCCGCAGCACCAGCCACCCCAGGCCGAUCGAGUCCCCGGAAGUCGCUCUCGCAUGUCCUGUGACCAGAAUCCCCGUUGGCGAGGAUGCCGUUCGCCAGCGAGGGACCGCCCGUGGCGACGCCCAUGCCACCAUCCGAGCGAGGUCGAGACAUGGGAAGCGGAGGAGGAGGAGGAGGAGGAUUAAGCUAGACUGCGAUGGACCGCACCGCUUCGAGAGUUUUAUGGCAGAGUGGCGAUAGAAAGAAUACAAAAAAAAGGGGAGAGCCAACGAAGCAGAAAAUUCGCAAAACUUCGAAUUCCCCCUGCUCGCACGGCUCUGGACAUAUGGGUCGGAUUGGAUCAGCUGUUUCAUGUUGUCGACAAACCACCCGUACGGAGACGCAUUACAUAACGACACGUCCGCAGAAAAUUCCGUGGGAGAUUUGCCCAAUCCCAACCUACCACAAGACGGGUGACAAGGGGAAGGGAAAAAUCUCUCUUUUCCAAAUCUAAUAUUAAAAAAAACAACAAUCAGUAUUUGUCAUCGGUUUUUCCAAAUCUAAACUAAGUAUAAUAUUGGCAACGAAAAACAAAACCAUUAUUAACAAUUCAGGUCGAUUUUGUUUGGAUCAUCGAAAGUGAAAAUUGAUACCUCGAGUAAAGUUUUUUUUUUUUAAGUCGAAUUUAUAAAAUCUUGACUGGGGAAUGAUUAUUUGACUAUCCAAAAAUUAUCAAAAUGGAUCUUUCUUCUACUUAGGAACUCCAUUUCUUGAACCAACCUACCAACUCUCGCAGUAUGCUACGGUAACAGUCGCUUCCUUGGCUAGCUUUUGAUGCAAACAUAUAAACCAUUAUCAUUCAUUAAGCAUCGAAACUGCUUUUGUUGAUAUGAAAGAUCAACCUUACAACCACUUGAUAAUUACACAAUAAAAUAAAGAAUAUAUAUAUAUUUAAAUCCUAAUUAUUUUUACUGUGUCAAUUAACCUAGCUGUUAAGACUACUAAUAGAAAAUCUCACCACUUGCACACAAAUAAAAAAAAGUGACAAUACCAAAUCACACAGGCUAAAUUAUAAUUUACCCUGAUCACUAUAUGAAACAUGCGAGACCUACACACAAGAUGGCAAAUGAAAAUAAGUCAUCCGAGACACUGCAAAGUGUGCUUGUAAAGAUUUUGAGUCUACAACUUGGAAGUGCGUGACUUGCAUUUGAACCAAAAUAUUACUUUCAAAAGCUAGUAACGGAAUGGAUUUGUAUUGUCCGGAGAAUUAGUCCAUCAGCGAAAAAGUAAAACGUAUACUUGUUUCAUUUAAAGAGAAACAAACAAACAACUAUGCAAAACACAAUUUAAAGCAAAAAACAUUAAAAAGAAAUAUAUAUCAGUAGCAAAAUGAUCCCUAUUAAUAUGUCAGAAACAUCAGAAAAGUGACUGGGAUUAAACAUAGAAAUUAGAUAACAUGGCGUUCCGGGCAGUAGCAGACCAUGCACCGGUAUCAAACAGUCAACAUACAAAAAAAUAAUCUAUCCACAACGAGUUACAAAGCAAAUUAAUAGAAUGUCACACAAUUUGGAAGGAGACGAAUAAAUGGUUAGAAGAAAUAGUCAAUUUCAAGGGAGAGAGAGAGAGAGAGAGAGAAUAUUUGACUUUUCUCUCUGAUUCCGCCUCUGACUUCUACUGUACCAAAGCAUGAUAACUAUACUUCAGAAGCCAUGAAACUUACAUUAGUGGAAACCGAAGUCACGCACAUCUUUAUCAUACAACUACUGAAAGCAGCAUAAGCAGAACAGGGCCUUGAGAUCAUGCAUCCUCUCAACAGAACUCUUCCUUGAUAUACAAAACUAAGAGCUGUGUCAGAUUAAAGUAAAAACACAAUGGCAUAGCAGAAUCAAACCAUAAUCUAGUAUGCAAUACCAAUUUUUUUCUCCACGGCACAAACUACAUUAAUAAUUUAUGUAUGUAACUCCCAGCUUGUCCAUGGUACAAUGUACAAACUAUAUUCGAGUUCAUUCCAGCUCUUCAGUACAGCUAUUAUUGUUGCUCAUAAUAUAUCAGCUACAUGCAUGACACACGCCAAAUGCAACUUAACUGUAUCUAGGAGGUUAUGAUUAGUGGAGGAUGAUUUACAGUAGAAGUUAAUGGACUAGAGGUGGUACUAUGAUGCAAAUAUUUAACAUAUGAAUUACAAAUAAAGUUCAACCUCAUCAAGCACUGGGCAUCAGCGUGUCACCUUCCAAGAACUCUUCUAGCUCAACCAUGAAAUCCCCAUCUGCAUUCUCCUCUGACUCAUUGUCAACGCUUUCUUCCAUUGCCUGUAAAAAAUAAAAAUAUACAAGUCCCAGUGUCAAAAUUAUAUUAGGUGCUAGUGUGCAGUAUACCAAACAAAUAGUCAAUUACAUGAUGAUCAUAUUCAUUUACAAUGAUUCAGUAGGCUUUAUCAGCUAGCCACACUCAUACUAGUAAUGAUCUUACCAUCACGGCCACCUAAACCAAGGCCCACAUUUUUCCUGAAAAGAGUCCAGGGAUUAAUGACGAUCCAGAGGUUGCCAUGUCUCAACCCUAAUUCAUGCAUUUGAGCUCAGUCGACACCUUCAGGCAAGCCCAUUUCAAGAAUCAGUCCUACAGCAUUUUAUAGAACUACUAGGUCUAAGCCAUCAGAAACCUGACUAGUCUAAUUGCACUAGCCACAACUGGCUGAAGGGUCAAAAUCCUAGUUUUUCGGUCGAAGCAUGGUCCAGGCAUGAGCCACCCCAUUCCACUGGCACCCCAAAAUCUAAGCAGAACAACUUUUGGACUAAACAUGGUAGUUUCCUAGCUUACAUAUCAAAAUAUCUCCCAAAGAGCAUUAAUUUUUACCAACCCUGUCCUAUUUAGAAGCAUAGUCUGAAGGGUGCAGAACUUGGAAAACUGGAUUACAUCAUCCCAGUGAUGCAUGCUGGAUGAUAAAUGAUAUAUAUAGUUGCAUAACCAACAUGUUCAGGGUUGCUAUCUCAAAAAAAUAAGGAAAGAACUAGAAGAAUGUUAAGGAUGGGGAAGACACUGCAAUGAUUUGAGCCAAUUUUAUUCUAGCCUCAGUAAGCUGAAGAACACAGCAUGCCAUUUGGAACAAUGAAUUACAUCAUCCCAGUGAUGCAUGCAGGAUAGUAUAUGAUAUCUACAAUUUGCAUAAACCACAUGUUCAUGGUUACUAUCUCAAAAGACACUAUGUUUUCAUUCUGGACUCACUAAUCUGAAUAACACAUUGUUAAGAGAACAAUAAAGAUUUUGCAUAACAGUAUGCCAGAAUACAGACACACAGAUGGAACAAGAACAUCAGGUGAAACAGAAUACAAAGUUGAAAUGGAAGGAUUUGAUACCAGACAUCAGCUCUAAGAGAACUUCAAAUAUCUCAUAUGUGCUACUUAAACCAAGCUCACAACUAAGCAAUAUAAUAUAGAGAAUAUGAUAGAAGACAAAACUUUGAGGGAACUACAGAAUCAUAGUUCCCAAUAUGACGAAAGAUGAGACACUAUGGCUUGUUAGUUUAAAAUACCUACAAACUCUUAAGACCUACUAGAUCAAAAUUUUGGUCUGUUGGUAUGCCAUGGAAGUAGAACAAAUCCAAGUAAAAGAAAAAAGAGCUACCUUGGACUCCUGGAAGUCUGUAACAACAGCUAGAAGUCUUCGAUACUGAUCUCUAGCUUCUGGAUAUUGAACCAUAGACUUCACCCUUGCAAGUGCCUUCUGCAUUCUAGCUUCUGUCUGUCUUCUGCCUUCUUGCAAGAAAUCAUAAUCAUCUUCCUUUUUAGGUUGACAUUGCAUGGUAGUGCCCUCCAAAAGACCUUCAGAUCGAAAGCCACGUAAGCCACUUCCUUUACGCCUCCAACGCAAUAUAGCUUUCUCCACAAUUCCUACUGACCACACAAUUUUUCGAUAUCGUUUCCUCACUUGAUGGCCGCGUACAUGAGCCUAGUCAUCAGAACAAGAACAUAAAUAAAUAACUAAUAGAUGACAAUAAGUACUUGUAAGUUGUAACAAAAACAGAUUAGCAGCUGAAUGGGUACAGUGCUUGACUUUCAUGCAAAUUAAGUCAACAUUUUUCUUUACUGAAUUAAUCAUUAAUGUUAUAGAACCAAUUGAAGUAAAAGAAAAUCAUAAUUUAAAGAAAAAAAAUACUUGAAAUGGCAGGAAAAAACACAAUGUUUGACACUCAAAAUUAUCACCCCUUACACAACAAAUUUCAAGUUUCAACAUUAGUCUCUAUUGAGUUAAUAGUCAAAAUUAUAAAUCAAAACAAAAACCAAAGUCAUAGUUUAAACAGAAUAUUUACGACCAAUUUUACAAAGAAUUGUUACUUGAUAUUUGAUAAAUUCAGGUUAUCUAUUAACUUAGGAAAGUGUAUCAGCAUAAAUAGCCUUCCUCAUCAAUAGAUUCUCCUUGACUGAAUGGGAAGCCAGUCAAACUGCUGCUCGGUCACUGAACCUUCCCAUGUUUUACCUACUUUAGAUUCAUCUACUGAUAGAAAAAUUUGCAACUAGGCCUUAAAUUUCUUUAGUCAUGAAGAAAGUGACCUCUGCAACCAAAUCUUGGCCAUUUCGCCAAAAUGAGACAACAAGAAUUGGAGAGUAAUGAUGUAUAUUGGACUGUGGAUGAGAAACCGGAUUGUUUAUCACUGUAAUCUUCAAGGCUUUACUAUAUUCAGGAAUUGGAAUCUGAUAGAAGUUACUUGGGGAACUAGACUAGUUAACAAACAAAUGGACAACAAAAGAAAGCUGAGUCAUCAAGAACAUGGUUGUCAUGCAAACAUGGUUGUCAUGCAAGCACAAUGGUGAUUGACUGAUGCCCAGGGCUGAUAUCAUAUGACUUCAUUACAGCUUAAAACCUGAAUGACAAUGAUGGGUUUGUAUCAGGAUAAUAUGCAAACAUGUUUAUGUUCUACAGCUACACAAAACUAUGUGCAUGUAACAUGCUGAACAUGUAUCUGAUGUGUCUGAGACCUAGUAGCUCUAGCAUUAGUAUGAAAAGCUGCAUAACAGCAAAACAAAGUAAAUGGAGUAAAAAUACUAUAGGCAACCAAGAACAUGGGUGGACAACAAAAGUAGCAAAACGCAUGGAAAAUACACAAGCAAAGUGAUCAAUCAAGAACAUCAGACCUGGAUCUUGACUAUCCGUUGCCUAAUAAUCAAAAACUCCUUUCUCCCUUUCCAUCCUCUGAACUUGUUUUGUAUACGAAUGGCAGCAGCAUGCAGAGGCGUAUCAUAGUGUCCUGAUUUAUGCGACUUGAUAGAUAUAAGUGAAAGUGCAUGUUCAUCUGAUAUUCCAGACUUGUCAUCUCCAUACUCAACAAUCUUCUUUCUGUGGAAUGACUGCACUCUAAAAACUUGGUAAAUGCGAGCUGCAGCUUGAGAAGCAUUCCGAACAGCACUUAAUGUGUCCUUCAGUGAAAGUCCGGCCUGCAUGUCUCCCUCAGCAACCUCAAGAGCACUCCGUUCUGCAUCAUCUUCAAUACCCGUCAAGCUAGCAAUUUCUGGUAGAUCACUUUCUUUUGUGUCUAUAGUGAGGGCCAAAAGAUGGCUUGUCAAAGAUGACUCUGCCAGGAAACCAGCAAUGCCUUUGUGACCAUUUGCUGAUGCUAAAUCUGCAGGUGUUCUUCCUGAAGGAAACUCAGGGGAUGGGUCUGUCAAUAAACCAGGUGCUGCACCCAUUGCAAUGAGGGUACCAACUGUCCACUCCCUGAAAAAGAAAGAGAGAGAAACUCAAAUUUAACUAAUCAAGAACGUAUAUGAGCUCAAAAUAAAAUAUCUGGUGUAAUCACCUUCCACAAAAUGCUGCCCAGUGAAGGGCUGUCCACCCAUGUACAUCUCUGAAAUUAAUAUUAACACCAGCAGUCACUAUUGGUUUUAUGGCCCAAUAGUAAUCAAGAGCAGCUGAUAAAUGUAUCACGCCCUGCCCCUCGGUAUCCCACAUGCUGGGGCCUUUACCAUCUUCAGCCACUUUGUGUAGAAGCCAAGUAACCAACUUCUCUCGUAAUAGUGUUUCAAGCAACUGAUCCUUUACAUAGUCAGCAGUGCAUCCUUCUCUUUCAGCUAGCUUAAGCAGAGAAGAACACUCAUCAGCAGCAUCCAUCAUAAUUGAACUAAUUUUACUUCUCACAUGAGCUUUCCUCCUAAAUAUCUCUGGAUCUAUUUUUUGGUAGUCAAUUGGACCCAAAGAAAGUAACUUAUCAAGACGUAUAUGAAGUAGCAUUUCAUUUGUGUUAUAAAUGCAGGAACCUAUAUUUUCCACAGGAUGAGCAUUGCUUCCACGAAAUUCAAACUCCCUCACUUCACUGCAAGCCAAUCUGUUGGAACAGGUGACAUAAAAAGGUACCCUUCCA
rnacentral:lncRNA from 1 species